AACUUGCAGGUUUUGUUUGGUGAUAAACGCUAAAAAGGAAGUUUUGUUCAAUUUUGAUGCGAUGAUUUGAUGAAAGAUUUUCCUUUUUGAAACUGACAUGAACAACGAAGGCCAAGUAAAGGAAUUUUAGCAAUGCAGUGAACAUGGACUAAAUCGAUUCUGUCUCUUGUCGUGUCAAUAUCCCACUUUUUGUCACCUUGUUUUUUUCUACCUUAGUAACUUUAGCAGUGUCCUAGAAACUGGUCCCUAUCAGUUCCACUAAUUUCACUUUUGAUGUUAUCAAUUAUUUUCCCAUUUCCCCAAAUCAGUUUUUUAACUUUUUUUUAUUAAGUGUUCUCAUGACAUGAGAUUAAUAGGCACUACUGAACUAAGAUUAGAAUUUCGUUUUUCUUUUUAGGGUUCUCAAAUUUUAUGAGAAUGGAAUUUAAUUAGUUUCUUUUGGAUUGAAGAAGAUGAUCAGAUAUAUGGGUGGCAGUCCCUUUCCAAUAUUUGAAACAGCACAUUUUUAAACUGAUCUCACUAAAGAAAAUAAAGAGCCAAUUCACUUAUUUUGAUUUUACCCGUGUUAUCUGAUCUUUAUAUAAAUUUGAACAAAUCUUUUUAUCUCAUUUUAUAAAACCCAACACUAUGGAUUCUCGAUCGAUAGCUCAGGUUUCAUGUUAAUUAUAAUUAUCAAUCUCUGUUUAGUAAAAUUUCGGUUUUACAAUCUAAAAAUAAUUUUGUUUGAACUAAAAUAGUAUCUAAAUAAAACUCCUUCAAUAAUGAUAAAUUCAAAAUUCGAAAUCAAUUCAAAUAUUUAAAAUAAAAAAUUCAUUUUCACUUCUUCCAUCUACCUAUCCGUAACUAAAACUUGUUUUAUAAGGAAGAGAGAGAGAGAUAAUUCGAAAUUUGAAAUGCAAGACUAGACAACGUAAUUUUUAUGCCAUUACAUUAGUGGCUAGUUGAUGUUGACAAACUAUGUUGAAAUGCCUCAAGUACAGUAACUUGAAAAAGGGAAAAAGUAAAUGAACUUUGGCUGCUUCUUUUUUCUUUUUCUUUUCUUUCUCAAACAUGUGUUUCUCAAAAAGGUCGUUUGGAUGUGACAAAAAUAAACAGUAAUCUAAAUCCUAGAUCCGAUGAAUAUGACUUCCUCAUCAAAACCAUAAAAUUUUAGCCCCAAAUUAUUUAAAUCGUUUGCUUUUAUCCCUUCAAUUAAGUUCCAUUUCCACACUAAGUAAAUGUACACUCAUUUCUGCACAUCCAAGGAAAAAAUAAAUAAAAGAAUCAAACAUGAAUGAGAUAAACCCCGCAAUUGCUCUAUGAAUCUAUGAGGUGUGAGUUCAGAAAAAGGAUGCCGGCUGAGCGGCCGGAAAUUACUGGAGGUAACCAAUGUCAUAGUGUCAUACAAGUAAAUCUGACACCAUUACCUUUUCAUGGUAAGAACAGGUGAUCAUUCAAUAAAGAAAAAACAUAAACCACUUCAAACCAGAGCAAAAUUCAUGCUUGUUCAUCUACAGUAGCAGUGUAAAGUACAACCCUAGUGAAUUCAAUGGCUAUAAUCAAAUAUUUCAACAGGAUAACAAGGCUAAACAUAUAUAUAAGCACUCCAACCUCGAAAAGAACACCAAAUAGGAUCAUGCAUUGUGCCUUGCAUUUAUUUUCAUGACAAAACCAAACCCAUUAUCUACAAGUAAGAUGGCAUUAGCCCAAGAGUUGGGUACCUGGCCAUUACAUUGUUCAUAAUGCUGAGUAAUGGCAUGAGAACACACGGUUCUCCUCUACAUGAACUGCUCCGUCAACUCAUCUCUUCACCUUCCCUCCUCUCAAGAAGUCAUAAAUUGAGCGAUUCAACCAAAGAAGAAAGAAAGCACUCACAGCAAGAUCAAACACGGCUUCAUGUUGAAUCUACCGCUUCAACUUGCUGACGUGCCAGGUAUUUUUCCCUUCGCUCUUUCUGAAUUCAUUUAAUACAAGUAAAAUAAGAAGGAAGAAAAGGAAAAAGGAGCAUGGUUUCAGACAUAAAGACAGUCAAUUACCCAUUCAUCGAUUACAAGACCUUCGCCAACAACACGGGGACCUGUAUCAGGGGCAGGUUUCUUGCAUGCUUCAAAAGCAGCCUCGGCCUCAGCUAACUGACGCUUAAGUUUGUCCAAUGCCUUAAGGAACAAGAGGAAAAAUUAAACCAUUGAAGGGCUAAACCAUGGACCCCUUAAGUGCAGAAAGCAAAACAAUAUUAGUAGAAUUUGCCACUUACAGGGCUAGGCCGCCCUAUAUCUAGAAAUACAACCCGCAAAAUUCUUUCUACAGUCACUUGAUCCCUUUGUUCAUCAAACUGUAAAAGAGAAGGCAUAAUCAAAAUCUCUGUGUUGGCAUCAGCAUCUCAAGUUUAGCAGGGAUUUACAUCCAAUAAUAGUACACAAUCAAAUUAUAAUAAAAAUAACAUAUAACCAACAAGCAAGUAAGCAUUAAAAAAAACGUAAUAUUAGGAAACUUUAAAUAGUCUAAGGAAUAUCUUAUAUUUUGAAGGAUCAAUUGCACAUGCCUACACCAGCUCACAUGGCAUUCUACUAAUGAUUAUCUAAUUUUUAUUUCAGACAAAACCAGAAAAAUUAAAUGUCUGGCACUUCACAUGAAUGAACUCUAACCUAUAACUACACAAUCAAUUAAAUACUACCAAAAACCACAUUAUUCUGCAAUAAUUUGUGACUAAAUUCAUAUUAGAAAGCCCUUACAAAAAAAAGCUAUAAUAUGAAUACACAUAACGCUUCUCCCAAGCUAGGCUCUAGUCCAGCAACGGUAAGGAGAUAAGGGCAAUGGCGUCCACAAAGAGAGAAAAUUCAUCAGGUAAUAGGAUCCCAAACAGACAAGUUGUUGAAGUUUGUGUUUUCUAACCACAAUUCCUCACCGCAUGUCAAACCGCCACGUAAGAUUACAGAACAAUUACUGAACUGAAAAACCCUUAAAGCGAAUUUCAUUUUACCCAAAUAUGAACAAUCAACUUCAGUACCAACUUUACAAGUAUUUCCUUUUCAAUGUUUUCAAAUAUAGGAAAAUUCGCAUUCAAAUUCAUUCGACAUCCAUCCAUACUAAUGGAAUCCUAUAAAAAAACAAAAACAUCGACUGAACUGAACUUUAAGAUAAAACAUCAAAUAUACAAGGAAUAAGUAACAUUACUAAACUUACAAGCUCAGGCAAGUAAUCCACUCCAGCUGUUACCUUCAAACUCAUUAUCUUAAAUUUAACUUUACUCUUUAAAUCCACCUGCACCUCAUUAUUCUCCGGACGCUCUACAAAUUUAAACACUGUCAAAACAAAAACAUUAAACAAACCAAAUCAAACAAACAUUAUCAUAAUAAAAUCUCAAAAUCAAGGGCGGAAAUUUUAUUACCGGUUGCGAUAAUGCUUUCCCCUGGCGCCAAAAUACCACCAGGUGGACGCAUAAAACAACUCUUCGGCGCAGUAGUUUGAAACUAUAAAUAAUAAACAAAAUUUUUUAGUUAAUUAAAUUAAUAAAAACAGCCAUAUGAUUCAAAGUAAUUAACAAAUGUUAUGAUAUUAAUUGUAAAUAUUGAUAAUUUCAGAAAAUAACCGUUAUAACUGUCGCAUGAAGCCUCAUUUCAAUGGACAUUAAGAAAUUGUAAACAAAAUUAGUAUAAUUCAUUGACAAAUCAUGACUUUAAACGAAAAGAAAUUGCAAAUUGUAGUAAAUUUUGAGACAAGAGAAGUAAAUAAAAAUUAGAAAUUCAAUUGUUACCUUGAAAGCUACGUGAGAUUUACUAGUGUUCUUCAACCUGAUCGCACUUCUCGCCUGAGUUCCAGGCUCAUCUACAAUUAGAAAAUAUAUAUAAAAGACAAAUUAAAAGGUACACCAAUUUAGCUCUACGAAAGUCAAAGGAUAAGCAAAGUGAGGUUAGUACAAGGGAAAUAGAGUUUAUUAGAAGGAUCGAGGCGCAGCCGGCGCCGUGGAGGGAGAAGCGAUCUAGCAAUGGAUGAGACGGAUUUAGAGCGCUUGGCGGCAACCGUCUCCGAGUGUCGACUGCCAUUGUGGUUGAGAUUUUUAGUGGAAGAAGAAGAGGAAGAGUUGUUCAUCGUGGUCGAAGUCUGCCAAAAGGGACAAAGACUAAACAUCUUUCUUUCGGAGCUCCGCUGAUGCCGGUCGACGAUCGCCAUGGGCCGCCGCAAAGUCAGCCCGUCGACUGUGGAUGGAAAGUAACCGUGGCUUUUUUAUCGUCGCAGAAAAAAGAAAAUAAAAAAAUACUCGAGGGAUUGAAUAUUUAUAUUUUAAAAAGUAUUUUAAUUUUUAAAUUUCUUCCUCUUUUUUUUUUUUCUUCUUGUCUGUGGAUUUUAGGCAUGCAAAAUGGCUACAUUCUCGGCGAAUUUAAACGCAGGUCGGAUUUGAUAUCUUUACCUAGUUGCAACUAAUUGCAAUUUGGCAUCCGUCGCUGACGUGACUGUACCAUGGGGGGCAUUCAUGUAAUUAAGUUAAAGUUUCAAGGGUAUUCUUCACUUCAAAGUACAAACUAUUAUUCCAUUUCGAAGGUCAUUAAUUAUGGAUUAAUUAAAUUAGGUGAAAGUAAAAAAAAAAAAAAAAAAAAAAGAAGAAGGAAAAAGAGGUGCAUUUACAAACGUCGGCUUGUUUGUUGGAUAGGUUAGUUGGGAAGUUAGGAAUUAAUUAGGUGAAUAAAUUAUUAAAUUAAUUUAUUUCUAAAUAAAAAAAAACAUAGAAAUACUUGUAAAAUAAACCAUAGUUGUCCAUCAUAAGUUCUCAAAUUAAAAGUAAAACAGAAAAUUUUAGUAUAAUAAUAUUUUUUAUAAUUUGUUUUAACUUUUUUUCCUAACAUAGUUUUGUACUUAUUACACAAAGUCAAUGAAACAUGGGAACUGUUUUAAUGUUUUUUAGGGAUUAGUUGAAUAGCUGACCUUUUUUAAUAUACUAAUUUUAAAAUUUGAUUUUAUGGACUAAAUUAUCAAAAAAAUAGUCAUUUUUUAAAUUACAAAAAUAAAUCGAUUUUUUAAAAAUUUACGAGAAUGGGUCAAUUUUGAUAAAAAGUUCCUAGCUAGAAGAAUUUUUAGUAUAUUGACAAAACAACACUUCUAAUCAUCAGCACUAAAGUGGCAGCACCAAAAAAUUUUUUAUUUAUUUUUUGUGUCAACUAUUGAUGUGGGAAUAAAACUUACCAAAAAGCUUAUAUAGACUUAAAGUCUCAUUUCUCUUGUUUUCUUAAGUAAUGUUGGAUAUGAGAUAUAUGUAUAUAUAGACUCAUAAAUAUAUUUGUAACUUAUUCUUAAACAAUGUGAGAUUAUUUCCUUAAAUUGGGAUAUUAGAGUUUCUUUUUCUCAUGGUUUUGAUAUUAGAGUUAUGCAAACAAAUUAUUACCAAAAAAAAAAUAUAGUGUAAAUUGAAAUGUGCAAUUUUAAAGUAUAUCAUAUUAUGGCAUAAUGAUGUAAAUAUUUAAGUAAUAAUUUUAAAAAAUAUAUAAAAAACUAAAUAUAAUUUUAAUUAAAAUAGUAAAAAUGAAUUAUUAAAGAUGUUUUGAGUCGAAAUUCUAUUUUUCUUUAGAUUUUAUAUGAUAAUUUUUUAUAAUUUUAUAAUUGAAUAUAAAUUCAAUUGAUGAGUGAUGCGAAUUUAACUAAUAUUAAAUUGAGAAAUUACUCUAAAGUCAAAACAAAAUUGCGAAUUUUUAUUUAUUUCAUCUUUUAAUUUUUGAAUUAGAAAAUACAUUUUUUUAUAAAAAAUCCAUAAUAAAAAGGCUAUUUAUUUAUAUGUUUAGGACUUAGAAGCACUCAUUUUGUAGGUGUAUUAAUAAUUAUAUCAUAAAUAAAUUACAAAUAAAACACAUAUAAUAAAAAAAUAAAUGAGUUUUGGUUUAGUUUUAAUUAAAACAGCUUAAAAUGAUUCACAAACAAGUUUGUCUGUGAACAAAAAAGGGAAAAGAAUUGAACAUAUCUCAUUCAUUUUUGUUAUUGUUUAAUAAAUGAAUCUUUAAAUUUAUUUUGUAUUAUUGUAUUUAACUUGAUAAAUGAAUAUAAAUAAGCCGUAAUUAUUUAUAGCUAUUUUACACAUGGAAAAAAAAGCCCUCAAAUACACGUUAUACAUAUUAAAAUUUAAAGUCAUAAUAAUUUAUUUAAUACUCUAAUUUUACAAAAAAAAUCUUUUUAGCCUUUUAUUUAAUAUUUUAUUUUUUUUUCAACCUUUGAACUUACUUUCUUGUCAAAUCACUUGAAAAUUAAUAGAAAAGUUAAUGUUUUUUAACUUGCUAGCAUGGCAUUCACAUGGAUUGUCACAUGAAUGACACAACAUUUCAAUAAUAUUUUGAAGAUUUUAAAAUUAAAAAGAUAUUUUUUUAAAAUAUUUUUAAAUUUUUAAAAAUUUAAUUAAUUGCUGACAUGUCAUCCAUGUGUAUGCCACAUCAAAAAAGUUAACAAAAAUUAAUUUUUUCAUCCAUUUUGAGGUGAAUUAAUAAAAAAUACAAGUUCAAGAGUUAAAAUAUACGAAAAAUUAAAUGAAGGACUAAAUUAAUUUUUUUAUAAAAUUAGAACUCCAAAUAAAUUAUUAUCACAACUUUAAAUAAGGUAUAUCCAAUCCAAAAAUUAAAAGUUUCUCAAAAUCUUGAUUUCACAUUUAGUAAAAUCCACCGUCAUCCCUUAAUAGUCUCUACUUAGAUUGAAUGCAAUUCAGCAUUGACCCCUUGUCAAGUGGGAAAUUUUCAUUAAUAGUCCCUCUUACUAUUAAUCAUUUAAUUGAAGUUUUUCAAUCAUUUCAAUAUAUGAAAAAAAAAUAUUCUUGACGCUUCUCAAAGUUAAUUAUAUGAUCUAAACUUUUUUUAAAUAAUUUUUUUAGCUUGAACCCCCUUAAAAUUUUAGAAUUUUAUUUUAGUCCUUUUAGACAGAGUUUUUGGAUUCAUCCCUAAAUUCAACUAUAUUUCUUUACAAAAUUCUAUUUAUUAAAUCACAUUAGAAAAGAAGAGAAACUCAGUUAGAUGGAAUAGUUGUAGGUUUGAGGCUGCCUACCUGGCAAUGGAACAUUUUGUUGGCCAACAAAUUGGCCAGCGAACAAAGAUAAGAUAUGCCGCUUGUCUCUACUGUACGGGAUAAUUCACAAUUAUUCCAAAAGUAAAUUAAUAAAUGCUAUACCUUAUACCAGUUUUCAUAUACUUCUUUUCUUAUUCAAUAAUAUAAUGAAAAAUGUUAAUUGAGUCUCAACUCAAUUUACAUAAGAAUUUUUGUUAAUGUAAGAGAAUGCAAGUUUGAAUGCGUUUGAAGUACAUCGUAUUCUUAUUUAUUAGUAAUUUUAAACAUUAUGUAAAAAAAAUAUAAUCUGAAUUGAAUAAUAGAGCAAAAAUAAUUUCGAUGAAUGAUUUCUGUAAUAAAAUAAAAAUAUUAUUGAGAAAAUAUUUUUUUUCCUGAAUUAAAAAAUAUUAAUGAAUAAAAAGAUUAUGCAUUGGUUAAAAAAAAAAACACAUUAUGCAUUAUCAUUGCAUUACCAGUAUUCUCAUGCUUUAUUUUUACUCUUCCAUAUACACGCACCUAACUGAAGUUAACUUAGAAAAUUAUAUGACCAAGAAAAUUAAAUUAUUGUACUAAAAAAUACCUUAUGAUUAAGACCAUAAUUAAUAUCUGAUAUGGAAUUUCAUUUAUUUCAGUUGAACUGUCACUGAUUUUUUUAGCACAACUAUUUAUUAUUAAUCAAAUAUUAAGAUAUUUUAUUCUUUAAAUUAGAGGUGUUUAUCAAUCGGAUCGGAUUCAUACAAGGUAUUUAAUUUAAUUUUUUAGUCUGGGCUUGAUUAAAAAAAUAGGUUUACUUUUUUAUUCAAGUCCAACUCUAUUUAAGAAAGAUAAAUCCGAACCUGACCCAACUUGUCUAUAUUUGAUUUUUAUACUUUAAUGUUUGAUAUAAUUUUAUAUUUGUAUUUUUUAUGAUGUCACUAAUAGUCUAAACAAUCAAUAAUGUUAACUAUUUUGAUUAAAUAUUGAUUCCAAUUUUUUUUAAAAAAAUAUUAUUCUAAUAAAAAUUAUUUUAUCAAGAUAAAUUUGAGUGAAUAUUUUUUAGAACAAAUCCACUUUAACAUUUUAAUCAAAAUAAUUAAUAGUGUUAAUUAUUUAGAGAAACUAAUAUCAUUAUAAUAAUAUAGAAGUCAAAUUUUGACCCCAAAAGUAUGAGAAUUAAAUCUCAAAAUUAUACAUAGAAAAGAAUCAAAACUAUAAUAUGACUGAAAACACUCUAUACCUAACACAAAUUAUACCAAAAUAAAAGUAAAAUAAUUAAAUCUCAAAUUUAACCAUGGUAAAAUUAUUAGAACCAUAAUAUAAUUGAAAACGAUAACACAAUCAUCCCUAAUUUAUAGUGUAAUAAAAAAAAUCAAAUAUUCCAUAAUAUUCGAUCUAUAUUUACAGAUUUAUAUAUUGCAAAUUCAAGUAUUAGAUUUAUUAUUUGAUAUUGAUUCAUAAUGCAUAUGAAUUUAAGCCAAAAAAAUUCAUUACCCAAAUUCGCUUUCAUUUUAAACAAAAUUUUAUUAUAAAAAAUUUGAGUUAAUUAAAAGAAUAAAAAUUUUGUUAUACAUCGGUGAUCACCAACUCGAGUCCUAGAUAGGAUUUGGGUCGCCUACUCGUGAUCCAGAUAGGUCCCACCAGAUGGUUGAGUGCAAGGCGAAUCGCGAAAGAACAACAAAGUGUGUUCAUGGACCCAGCUCUCGGAUCUAGCUCGCACGAACCAAGAGAAGGCCACGGUCUUAAUUCGCAUGUGUUCAAGGAGCUCGCAGAAGAGAGACCACGUGCUUUGCAGGCGACCUAGGGUGAAACACGUGUCCAGAAGGCUUCAAGCCUGCACGUAAUGUCAAUAUUAGGAACCCAAAGUGAGACACGUGUCUAGUAGGCCUGAAGCCCGCACGAAGUGUCAGUAUUAGGAACAGCUAGCAUGUAUAAAUAUCCAAAUACUCUAUUAAUAAGAUACAAAACAAAACUACUCAACAAAUUUUGAUAUGUCAUAUCAACAAACUUAAUAGAAGUAAAUUUAAUGGUAUUAACAAUUGAAUAUUGAUUUAAUUUAAGGGACUUAAAUAAAAAACUAUAAAAAAAAUUAACAUUUAAAUUUUUACACAAAUAAUCAAUUGAUGCAAUGGGAAGAGUGAAAAACUAGUUACACAUCAUAAAUCUCUUCAAUUAUCAGACCGAACAAUAAAGAUAUCAAUUGGUUUCUUUAUUUAUGAUAGUUUUCUUCAAUAAAUUUUAUGUUUGGGUUGUUGGGUCCUUAUUGUGUUGAAUGUCAGCAUGGGCUUAUGUACUUUCAUAUACAUAAAUAAUAAUUACUAAAGGCUUUGGACCACUCAAGACUAUAGCACAUAAUAUUUUAUACCUUCUAUCACUAUAUAAUAUUUCUCACUUCCUUAUUCGGUACCCAAACCUAUAUGUUUAUAACUUAUUUCAAAUUAAGAUUUGUUAUAAUUAAAAAGUUAUAUUAGGUUUUGAGAUAGAAAAUGAUGAUGGUUCACGUGGUGUAAGGAGUCAUUAAAAAUAGUAAUGAUAUAUAUUAUAGAGGGUGUGGAAAGUCAUUAAGGAUAGUGGUUAUUUGAGCUACGACAAUAGUUGAGUAGCGUGCAAUAUUAUUAAUCUCUUCUAUUCUCAUUGUAUGAAUACGUCAUUGAUAAAGUGCAGUUUAAUUAGGGUAUGGUUUAGAGGUGCCUUGAUGUGAUCAUUUUCAAAAAUAAUGAGUUUAGGAAGUUGAAAAUAUUAAUGAGAUUAAAUCUAAUAAAUUGGUUGUCCUUGAUGACAUCCUGAUACCCUCACUUCAUAUGGACACUCUGUUCAUGGCAUGAGAAGUAUCCAUUUGCGGGGAUACAACAAUUGGUCCUCAUUAAACAGAAAUUUAUGAAGUAAACUUGUUUAAGAUUGUGUUUUCUAGGGCAAUGGAAUGUCACUUUGUGAACGAGAAGCCUUUAUCAUUUGAACUAUUCAUAGUGAAAUUACUUAAUAUUUCGUGGUUGUUUCAAAAUUUUAAAUUAUCAUCUCUAAAAGGUGUGACUACUCAAUUUUGACAUGGCAUCAGUCUAUUGGCCCAUAGUUACAACACUUUGAGAACCUUUUUCGCUAUUUUUCCAUCGCUUCGCAAGCCCAAAUCUUCUUCUAUAAAUAGGGAUCUUAGGGGUUUUGUAGGGAAUUUCACUUUUGCAUUUAUUGAGUAAAUUUUAGCCAUUUUUGCUUUCCAAUGUUCUUCUAUUUCUUUUCAGAAUUUAUCAAGUUUCUUUCUUUUGUAAGUUUCUUGUUGCAUUUUCAAUGUUUCUUUACUUAUUGUCAACUUUUCAUUCCCUCUUUUGCUUUGUUCUAUGUAAGCACUUAAUUUUGUUCCGGAUUUUUAACUGCAUACUUAUUAAGCUUUGAUUUUAUUAGGAUAGAGGCUUAUGUGAGCUUUUUGUGCUAAACCAACUAUUUAAUUUGAUUUUAGAAUUGAAUUGGAUAUUAAUCGAAUUUUGUUUAAAUUUUUGGGAGUCAAAAUAGAAUUUUAUAUUUUUGAAUUAUGGGCCAAAUUGAAUUUUUAUUUAAAAAUGUUUAAUUUUGUUCCCAAAAAUCAAGUCUAGAAGAUCCCUGAAGCAAACCACAUUAAUUUUAGGUCAGGUCUAGAAGACUCUUGGAUCAAAUCUCCAUCACUCGUUUUUAAGAUUAAGUCUCCACGACCCUUGAAACAGAAUUCAACAAUUCAAGAUCAAGUUUCAAAAGCCAUUAAAUCUAAAUCAAAUUAAAUUCUCAAGCAAGCAUCACUUUAAAUCUAAUUUUAAGAUCAAAUCUCAACUACCUUUAAAGUAAUAUGCAUCUAUCCAAGAUUAAAUCUAGACAAAACUUGAAUCGAAGCUCAAUUGAAAAGAUGCUGUGGGAUAAUUUUUUUUAAUUUUUUUUUUUACAUGUGUAUAAUAUAUUCAAACUAAUGGAUGUUAUGAAUUUGGAUGUCUCUAGGUUUACUUUGUACGUGUAUUUUUAGUAGUUGAGGUUAAAAGAUGGAAUAAUUUUAUCUUUGGUCAUAUUAACUUGCACAGUUUUCUAUUUAAUCCUCUCUCUUCUUCUUUCUUUGGAUUCAGUGAUUUAUAUGGAAAUUUGUCUAUUCCAUGACUCUGAUUUUCAUAGGUGAUUAAUUUUUCCCUUGCUAAUAAUCAGGUUAUAAGCACGUCGUCUUGAAGAAAGAAAGAAAGAAAUAAUAUUCCUCUACAUGGGAUUUUAAAUAACUUCUUCAAAAAUGAAAUAAAGUGGAUUGGAUAUUAUAAAUCCAUAAUCGUUCUAUUAUCAGCAUGAUCUGUUUCGCUCCCAUUUGAAUUUUUCGGCUCCACCCAUUUUAUAUUUUUUAAUAAUUUUAAUGUUCAUUUGAUAUAGAAAUACAAAGAAUAAUUUAGGAAGAUCUCACUUAAAUAUCUUAGGGUUCAUGGUAAAGAUAUUAUUUCAUUUCAUUUAAAAAAAUAUAAAUAUAAAAGAUAAAAUAAUAAUUUUAAAACAUCAAAUUUGAGUGAUAAACAAAUGUCAUAUUUACUAAAUGACUGUUAAAUUAAAGAGUACAAUAAUAUUUUUUAAUAAAAAAAUCAUCUAUUUUUACUUUUAGAAAUUAGGUUAACAAGUUAACUAGAUAGAUACAUGUGAUGUGUUAUAUGUGCCUCAUUUUGACGUAUAAUGACUAAUUUUUAACUUUAAAAACAAAUGAAAUUUUUUAACAAAGAGAUUAAUUUGCUAUUUGAUCUAAUGUAUAGAGACUAAUUUGUCUUUUUUUUUAGUGAAAAUAGUAAAAUGUGAUCUAACACCUAAUACAAAGACCUCCAUAAUACUUUUGUCGAAACCAUCUUUUUAUUUUCAAAUUUUAAAUUUAAUGAAAAACAGGGAAUCGAUUUUUUGAAAAUAGAACAUGGAGUCGCCACCGAUACUUUUCUUUUGGUGUGAUCGGGUCACCUAAGAAUUUGGUUAUUUUUAAUAAAACAUUUUUGGUUUACCAAAAAUAACGAUUUUGGUCUACGAAUUUUUUGAGAAAACGGGUUCGGGAGUCGGUUACGCAUGAGAAAGGAUUAGCACCCUCACUACACCCAAAAUUGGUACCAAAUCAAUUAAAUACUGUCCUUAUGUCUAAGAUUUAAAAAUGUUUUUGAAAUGUGGCUCUUUGAACAAAGAUUUGAAAAGCCCGAGUUGGCCGUUGAAAUCCUCUUGUUUCAGAGGAAUACAGCAUCACAUCCAGUACGAUAGGACACUAUCCGUUACCCUCGGAAACACGAUAAACUUCGACUUCCAAAAAUUUAUAAGUGGAAAUUACAAAAGGAUGCCCAAUUAUUUAGUCCAACGAAAAAUCGAAACCCAGCACAGUAGGGCACGAUUCCUCGAAUUUCCUAAACAUUGAACAUUGCUUCGCCUUGGAAAACACGAGUGAAAUUCUAAAGGAAUAUUUGAUCGUUUUGAACAAACGGGAAACCGCAACCCAGCACAAUAGGGCACGAUUCCCCGAAUUGUCAAACAUCGAACAUUACCUUCGUUUUGGAGAAUUUUUAAAAGCAUGAGUGAAAUCCUAAAGGAAUAUUCGAUUUUUUUGAACAAACGAGAAAUUACAACUCAGCACGAUAGGGCAUGAUUCCCGAAUUGCCAAACACCGAGUAUUGCCUUCGUUUUAAGUAAAUUUUAAAUGAAUAAUUAUAAAAAUAGCUUAAAACAUAUUAAUACGACUCGAAAUAAGACGAAAUUAAUCAAAAAGGUUGGAUUUUAUAAAACCACAUUUCGUAAACCAAGUGGAAAACAAUGAUAUGGGAUAAAAUAUGUAUGCAUAGAGGUACGAGAAUGGAAGAAUGAAGAUAAUGCAAUUUAUUUAAUCAACUAACAAACAUUUAAGCAACUAAGUAUAACUAACUUGAAAAUAUAACUCAACUUCAAUUAUGCAUGGAGAAUAAUUAACAUGACAAUAUAAAACAAUGAACAAAUAAUAUACUACAACAACAUGCAUGACAUAAUAUAAAAUGAUUACUACUAGAUGCACAAAACGAAAUGCAAAUCAAAGAAGCAAUAUGGUAUAAAAUUAUUUUAAAAUAAUGAUAAGUACGCGAUACACACUGUAAGAAUCGAUGGAUUUAAAAAACAUUUGUAAAGACAAGCUUAAUAUCCACAUGCAAUUAUUAAAAUAUAUAUUGUAGAAUGAAUAUUUUUAAAACACAUAAUGUAUAAGUUGACAAAUUUGCAUAGAAAAUAAGAAUAUAUAAUUAUUGAAAUAGAUAUUAUAGAAUAAAACUUUGAAUCAAAUUGCAUGUAAAUAUUUUAAACACAAACUCCUUUAAAGGUUUACAAAGUACAUGAUAAUUUAAAUAAUAUAUGUAUAGAAGAAUAAUAAAAAUACAUGACAAGACAUAACACCCAAAAUAGAUUUAUAUAUAAAAAAUGUACAUGUAAAUUUAUAAAAAAGAAUGAGAUUAAUAAUAAUAUAUAUAUAUAAAUUUUAAGUUAGUCUAAAAAUUAUACAUACCCUUAUAUCAAACGUUUAAAUAAUAGGCUAUAUAAAACAUCAAAAAGCAAUAUAAUAUAAAGAUAUAUUCAAAAAUAAUAAUUUUACAAUUGCAAAAAAAUGAAGUUUCUAAAAUUAUUUCAUAUAUGCACAUAAAGAAAAUACUUGACACAUCAUAAAACAAAGACUGUUUUUUUUUUUAAAAAAAGAAUCUAUUAAAAUAAUAAGUGUAUUAAUAUAUAUACAUAUAAAUCUAAAAGUAAGUAUGUGUAAAUUAGCAUAGAAACGAUAAUAUGUAUAGGGCUAAAUUAAUUACACAAUAGAUUUAAGAACAUACUUAUAUACGUAAAAAGAAAAAUAUAUGUAUAAAAUAUGCGGGUUUAGUAACUUAUAGAUUAAAUACGGAUAUCCAUAAACGUAUAUACAUAUAUGUUAAUAGCUAAAAAAUAUUACAUACGAUUAUAUAAUAAAAUACAAGAAUAAAUUUAAAAGAAAUUAUGUGCGUAAAUUAAUAUAAGGUUAAUAAUAUAUACAUGCAAUAAAAUUAACUUCAAUACAAAGUAUACUUAUAUAUAAUAGCGUAUGUAAAAAAAAACAUUACAAAAGUGAUUUAAAAAAAAAAAAACGAAAUCAAAUCAUCAAAAUAUCUUAUAAUACAGAAAAAAAAUAAGUGAACACGGAUAAAAAAAUAUUGAAUGUGUCUUAAAAAACUAUAAUAAGCCAUAAAAUGAAUAAAUAAAGAAAAGAGACUCAAUUAAAAAGAAUUAAAAUAAGAGGGGCAAAGUAUAAAUGAAAACAACUGCCAAAAUAACAAAGGGGACUAGAAUGUAACAAGUGCGAAUGCACAUGGACUAGAUGUGAAAAUAAUCCAGACCUCCAAAACGCAACACUGCACUGCGAACUAAAGUGCAAACGCGCACAAAUUAAUGAGCUAAUUUAAGAAAACAAAACGGAUCAGCUAAGGCGCGAUUGAAUGCGCACGGGAACGGGGAGGACCCAGCUCGAAAAUAACCUAUUUUUUGCGAAAAGCUACGGGUUCGGGUCCUGGAGCGGGUUGACGCGGGGACCCUCCCCCUUUGAAACGGCGCCGUUUCGUAUUUUGCUUAAAACAAUAAAAAAAAUGGCAAUCAGCCAUUUUACCAGCCACAAAACCGAACACCCAAUUGCUAGGGUUUCGGCGCCGCAGCUCUGUGGCUUUUCCAGUCCCCUUUGCCCUUUUGGUUGACUUGCAGGCUACCACGGCACCACGCGCGCCUUCAUCAUCCGUCGUAGCUCUGACCGGAUCCCCAAGGAUCCGUUUGGCCUUGGACGGAGAGGCAACUGUCGAUUAAGUCGGCGUCGAUCGACAGGUAAGAGAUCCUCCCCCUUCUUUAUACUCGUAUCACAGAUAAAGAAAAAUAAAUAGGAGAUAAAUAAAAAAGAAAAACGAUGAAUGAACAACCUUGAAAUCUUUGCUUUCUCUAUUUGAUUGCUUGAUAUUCGUUUGUUUUUUGGUGCGUAUCUCUGUGUUUAUGUUGCGUUCGUAAAUGUGCGUAACCAAAUACAAUCGAUCCAUUCCUGGCUUUAUAGCCGAAACUAAAAGGAAAAAUCAAAAAUCAAAAUACAAUCUUUUUGCUUUUUGCUGCUGUCGUUUGUCCAUUUCUUCGCAGGUACAGGGGUACGGGGCCAGCUGUGGGGAUAUGUGGCACUCGACGUGGGGUGUACGGAGGCGUUGAAGGCGGUCGUACGGCGCGAAGGCUGGGGCUCGCCUGCGGUUGCGGCGCAAAUGUGAGGAGGAAACCCUAGGGUUUCUUUUCUAAAAACAUUGGGCCUAUCGGGCUUGUAAUCUGGGUUGGUCUUUGAUAUUGGGCUGUAAGGUAUUAGUUUGUAUUGGGUCUGGGACUUGGGUUAUGUAUUUGGACAUUUUAAUGGACUAUCAUAAUAAUAGUUUUUAUUUUUGUAAUAAUUCUUGGUUUUGUAUUUGCACAGGCCCGGGCCAAAAUUGGUCCUUACAACUUUUACUGGCAUUCUUCUCAUUGCAAGGGGUGAAGCUAGAAAAAAUUUUUAGGGGCGAAAUUAAAUUAUAAAUUUUAUAAUAGUAAAAAUAUAAUUUUUUAAAGGACUAAAUAAAAAAAUUAUUAUUUUUAAAAAGGUCAAAUUAUAAUUUUACUAUUAUUAAUUUAAAAUUUUAAAAAUUUUAAAAGAUAAAAAAUAAAAAUUUCUCCAUGUGCAGAGUACAUACUAGCCCGACAGAUUCCCCCUUGCUCAGAGCUUGCAACUGCAAUAAGAAACUUUUUUCCUAUAUGAUCACAGGUUAUAUUGAGUUGAAGAUAAAUCUUUGUCAUAUUCAUUAAAACUCUCCAUUAGAAUUUCGCCCUUGUAAAGAGAGCAGAGCCACUAGAGCAAAGGAAGGGGAUUGAGAAGAAUCCUACCCCAUAAAAUGAAAAAUUAUUUAUUUUAUAUUUUCAAAAUUCAUAAGUUUUAAAUUAAUAUAUAAUAAAAUUAUAAUGUCUUUCCCAAAAAUGUUAGAAUGUUGAUUUAAUUCUUUUUAAAAUUUAUAAAAAUAUAAAAUAUAAAAAUAAGAUUAUAUUUUAAAAUAUAUAGCUACACCCUGCUAUCACCUCAACCUCAACCAUUUUGGCAAUUGAAAUUUGGGGUGUUUUCAAUGGAAUGAAGAACAACUUGGAGAUAUUUUAUUUCUUGAAACCCAAUCUGCAACUCAAAUUGCUGAUUUGGGAAUAAGAUUUAUGUAAAUGCCUUUGGAAAUAAAACAUUUUCCUUAUGAAUAGUAUUAUUGAUUCAUGCCUGCAACCUUAGAAACUAGAUCAAAUGAAAAUAGUAACUCAGAAAAAUCUUAGAUUUGCAAACAUGUUUAUCAUCCACAACUAUAUUCAAUUUGAUUUCAUCUCUGGCAAAAAUCUUUAAACAUGUUUUGCAUCAAAAAGUUGAGAAUAUUCCAAAGCUCAACCAUAAAAAAUAAAUUGGAGAGGGAAAGAAAUACUCUGUUAAACAUUUUAUUUAUAGAACGUCAAAAUCUAGUUGUAUUAGGACCAAAACAGCUCAAAUCCAUUACUUUUCUCAUAUUCUCUUCAGAUUUAUUAUUCACCAGUUUAUAAGAAGCAGGUGAAGAAAGGAUGUUGGAAUGACGAGCAAAUGAUCUGAUAUUGGUCCUUGCAUGUUGAUGAAGCGACCUUAUUGUGUAAUUCCACCUGCAAAUCCCUUGGUCCUUAAGGGCCUCCACUGCACCUAUUCUUGCUGCCACAAUCCAUGCUCUACUCAUUGUUGAUUUAUUUUUUAAUUGAGGUUGAGAAAGUGAAAUGGAGGUUGGGGUUUUUUAUAGGUGAAAAGAGUGGGGAAAAUCCCAAAAUCAAGAGGCGACUGAAGCCAGAUAUGCGGAUCGAAAUUCCCCGGUUUUGGCGACGAAAACCAAAUGCUAACUUUUUCACUCACUUUCGGUUUUUGCCGACGAAAACAAGAAAUCUGAGGGCUGUUUCCGGUUUUGCUGACAAAAUAAAAGGUUAGAUGUUAAAUUUUGAUUUAAUGUGUAAUUUGAUAACUGAAAUGUGAUUUUAUUUUAAAUAUACAUAUAAUAUUUUGAUUUUAAUGUGUAAUUUUAAGAUUUAUCUUCAAAAUAAAAAUUAUGUACUUUUACAUAUGACCCCUCCUAACCUUUAAAUCAGAAAGAAAAUAUGCUUAAAACGCAGGUUGUAGGUUUGGCAACUUUAGUUUUUAUUUUUAUUGGGAUAUUUUAUUGUUUAUUUAUUUCUUAUUUCUUUUUGAUUUAUUAUAUAGAUUAAUCUAUGAACUUGAUAAUUAUUUUUAAGUUCGUACUUUAAAUUUUUUUUUUUAAAAAAGUUGAUACUUAUAAAUUUUUGAAAAUUUUGAUCACAUGGAUGAAUAAUACAUAAAGAGGUAAUACGUUGAUUACUCUUUAAUUAUUACAAAAUUAAAAAAAAGAGCUUGAAAUUAAAUAUAAAUAAGUUAUAAUAUUAUUUUAAAUAAAUAAAAUUCAAAAAGUUGAAUAUAUAUUUUACUCAAAAAAUAUAAAAAUAAAAAGCUUUUAGCUAAAAAUUUUAUGGAACUACAAACAAAAUUGAAAAAAAAUAAAGAGUUAAAAAAAUCAAAAUAUUUUAAAAUAAAAAAAUUGAUCAGUCAAUUUCCGUCAACAUUUGAUCUAAUGCUUGUCAAUUCUUUAUUGUUAUUGUAAGACCCAAAUUUUGCCCGGGGCCCAAUAAAAUCACAGCUCAAAUACCAAAACUCAACUAAAACCCAAAAUACCCCAAGCUCAAAUACAACCCAAAAUAAAAAAUAAAAAAAAAUAAAAAAAUGAAGAAAAAAAAAACCUAACCUCUUCACCCUAUGUGCCGCCCUAAGCGCCGCGCUAGUCCUCUUUUGUCUACCACUUGUAAAAAAGAAAAGAUAGUAAAUAAUAAAAAAAAUGUUGUAACAAGGCUAUAAAAGCCAUCAUAAAACCAAAUGUAAAGGAGAAGGAGAGAUAAAAAAAAUAUUGUAUUUUCACAUAGAGAUCAAAAAUCCAAAGCAAAAAAAGGUUGAUUUUAAUUUCUUGUAUUCCCUUUGUUCAUUUUUCAUUUUUGUUAUUUUAUUUUAUUUUCUUUAUUAUAUAUAUACAUAAUUUAAUUGAAUUACUUAUUUGAAUUCCCUUGCAAACAUGUUUAUAUUUUUCCCUUUAAAUCUAUUUAUGUAUACCAUUUAUUCCCCCAAUUUUAAAUUAUACUUUGUUUAUUUCAAACACUUGUCUAUAUUACUAUUUUUUUUAUAUACAAUGUUUAUAUUAAGUUUUAUGCUUUAUGUAUCUUGUUAAUUGUUGGUAAGUAAAUCUUGUUUCAAAUUAUUUUGUAUAAUUAUUGAUUUAUAUUAUAUAGUAUGUCAUUCUUAUAUUCUUUUGUAUAUUCUUACAUGGUUGCAUUUAUAUAAUUCAUCUAUGUUACAACUUGUUAAUAUGUAUAUUAUUCGUUUUAAAAUUUUAUAUAGGUACACAUUACUAUUGCUAUGCACAUAAUAUAUAUUAUAUACAUAUAUACAUUUUUUGAAUCUUGGUUUUUAAAUUAUUUUGCAUAACACUAACUUUAAAUUUCCUCAUAUAAUACUUAUUUUGAAGCUCAUUUAUAUGUUAAACUUUAUAUACUUUAUGUAUUAUUUAUUUUUAUUUUUUAUUUAUUUUACGAUCUAUUGUAAAUUUUUUGCAUGUAUUAUCUGUUUAUGCAUAUAUAUAUAUAAUUUAGCUACUUUUAAAUUGUUCAUUCCAAGUUUAUUUGUUUUAACAUUUUUUAUUACCUUUUAAAAUAUUUUUCUUAAAAUGGAUUUUUAUUUAACCAUUAGUUAGAAACGUUAAAUAGUGUAUGUGGUAAGAUUAUUAUCAUUGGGCAUGUUUCAAUUUUCGUGUUUGUACUUUUCAAAAAAUUGUAUAAUAUAUUAUUGAUAUAUGUUUUCCAUAUUUGUUACUUUGUUUUGCAUCCCCAUGUAUUAUAUUAUGAUUUAGAUUGCCAACCUAUUUGCUUGAAAUCAACUUAUUUGCCUGAAAUUAUUCAUUUCAUUUUCUUUGCUUCAAAUGAAUCGAAUAAAUACGUUGCAAGUUUGUUUCCAUAAUCACUCCCUUUUAAAAAAAAUAAAAAAAUAAAAUUUCAAAUCGAGGUAAUAUUUCGUCUUUGGUAAUUCGAGAAAUUGUGCCCUAACGUGUUGGGUUUCGAUUUUCUGUUUGACCAAAUAAAUAUUCUCUCGAGAUUUCGUCCAUAUUUUUUUCAAAUUAAAAAUAAGGCAAUAUUCCGAAUUUAGGAAAUUCAAGAAAAUAGUACCCUAACUUACUAGGUUUCAAUUUUUCUUGUUUAACCUAAAUAACUAAAUAUCCUUUUGAAAUUUCAAAAUCAUGAGUUUUGGAAAUUAUAAAAUGAUCUUGUAUCGAGGAUUUGAAAUGUUGUGUCCUAUCGUGCUGGGUUGCGCUUUUUCAUUUGUUCAAAACAAUCGAAGAUCCCUUUGGAAUUUCACUCACGUUUUCUAAAAACUCUUUAAAAUGAAAGAAAUGUUCGAUGUUUGGCAAUUCGGGGAAUAGUGCCCUAUCGUGUUAGGUUGCAAUCUCCCGUUUGUUCAAAAUAAUCGAAUGUCUCUUCGGAAUUUCACUCAUAUCUUCCAAGGUGAGACAAUGGUCAAUAUUUGGAAAUUCGAGGAAUUGUGCCCUACUGAGCUGGGUAUCGAUUUUUCGUUGGACCAAAUAGUUGGGCAUCCUUUUGUUAUUUUCGAAUUAUAAAUUUUCGAACGUCGAAACAAGAAGAUUUUUGGCAAAGGACUCGGGUUAUUCAAAUGUUAUUAACAAGAACCACAUUUCAAAAACAUUUUUAAUUUUAGACAAAAGGACAGUAUUUAAUCGAUUUGGUACCAAUUUUGGGCGUAAUGAGGGUGCUAAUCCUUCCUCAUACGUAACCGACUCCCGAGCCUAUUUUCUCAUAUUUUCGUAGACCAAAAUCAUUGUUUUAGUAAACCAAAAUGUUUUAUUAAAACAACCCAAAUUUCUAGGUGAUCCGAUUACACCUAAACAAGAAAAGAUUGGUGACGACUCCAUUUUCGCUUUCCAAAAAGUCGAUCCAUCAUUUUUAAAUAAAAAAAAGGAAAAAAAAAUGGUUUCGACUGUUAUUUUUUUUUCAAUUGUUUAAAAUUGUAACUAUUUAUAUAUAUUUAUUUUUUUUAUGUAUUUUGAAUUUUUAUAUUUUAAAACUAUUAUAAUUAAAAAAAAAAGAAUAAAUCUUGAGAGCUGAUUUUGCUUUGAAGCAAGGAUAUCAAAAAAUUAUUUUAGUUACAAACUCACUGAUUGUGUAUAAGAAGAUUUUGAAGAGGGAUAAUCGCAGUAGUUAGAAACUCAAGCUUAUCUUGUAGAAAUUGGGCUCUGUCUUGGCCAGGAUUUCCAUGUUCAUUUUGAGUUUGUAAGAAGAUCCGUUAAUUUGGUUGUUGAUUGGGUGGUUUCUUAUUAUAAGAAGAAGAUGUGUAUUUUAUUACUAGUUGCGCCAAUCAUCUUCUUUGGCUCAUAUUCUGGACAAGGAUGGUCUACCAGCCCUGUUUGGUUAAGUUUUUUUGGUUUCUGUUCUGUGUUUAAUUGCUAUGUAUAGUGAUUGAGUUUAUUUUUUCCUUUUUCCUUCAAUGAAUUGUUAUUUGACAAAAAAAAAAAAGAAUAAUUCACACGUUACUCUCUUAGAUCAUGUCACCCAAAAUUUUCAAAAAAAAAAAAAUAGAUGUUAGUCAUAAGUAUCAACUUGUGUAAUAAUAGUCAACCUUAAGUACCAAUGUGAUCUAAAAUAACAUGCGAAGUCCCAAAAUGAGAAACAUUACCACAUUCAAGAGUAAAUUUAUAUAUCAAACCUUUUUUUUUUUUUGGAGUUGAAGAAGUGACUCCUAUUAUUUAGAUUUUGUACUCAAUUUUUUGGUUAAAAUAUGGCAUAAGUUUUUAUACUUUUUAAAAAUUGAAAUUUAGUUCUUAUAUGUUUAUUUUUAAGAAUUUAGUAUCUCUACUUUUUAGAUUUUAAAAUUUAUAUUCUACUGUUAACAUAGUUAAUUUUUUAGUUAAAUUUGUGUUAAUUACAAUAUCAUAUUUUUAGUUACAUAGUGUAUUGUUUUUAUUUCAAAAUCUUACACCAACAAAUUUAACCAAAAAUAUUUAGUAAUGUUAACAAUUAGACUUAAAUUUUAAAAUCUAAAAAGUAUAAAAAUUAAAUUUCAAACUUUUAAAAAAUAGAGGGACUUAUGACAUAUUUUAACCUUUACAUUUUCAAGUUUAUUAUAUUCAAGAAAAGAAAGUCAUGGUUAAGGCAUUAGCAUAGAUUAUUGACAUUAAAAUUGACAUUAUGAGAUGUUAAUAAUGUUUGGCCAACCCUAUGACCUCCUUCGAGUGGGUUUUGUACUUCAUCCCUGCAAACGACCCCAAAAAAUUUAAUUAAAAUAACCAAUUAUGUUUAUAUGAAAAUGUUAUAAUAAAUGUUCAUAAUUGCAAUAGAAUGAUUAUAAAAUAAUAAGAAAAUAAAAUAAGAAUACACAUAUUAUAUUUUACAUGGAAACAUUUUCGGGAAAAAAAUCACGGGCAGAGAAGAAGAAAUUCACUAAUGUUGAAAAACGAAUUAUAUAAAAAGAGUUUCGACUAUAUCUAUUUAAGGAUUGAAAAACCUGUUCUAAUCAAAGUCAAAUAUUAGAAGUAUAGUUCUAUAUGAACUCAACUUGUGUGAUAUGGCCUUCGACCUCUCGACCCCACAAAUCACUUUAUUUUGCUACUGUAUUUAUUUAUUCAACAAGUGAUGGGAUUCAAGUCACAUAAACUCUAACAAAAAAAAAUUGGGAUGAACCAAAUAUGAAAUAUCAAAAUUUUUAAGAUUAUAUGAUUAAAUAUUUUGUUAAAUACCAAAAUUUUAAGGAUAUUAAAAAUUUUAAGGAAUUACUAAAAUUUCUAAGCGUAACUUUUUUAGAUAUUUUGAAUUAUAUUACAAAUUUUAAGAAAAUAUCAAUAGUUAUAUGGAAGGUGAUUAGACAUUUUGAUAUACCAAAAUCAUGUUACACAAGUUUUUAUCAAAACUUUUAAGAGUUUAACCUUAGAUAUUUUGAUAUAUCCAUAAUUUCUAAGAGAAUACUAAUAUUUUUAAGAAACCUCGUUGGAAAUUCUGGUACACCAAAAUCCGGAUUUACAAGCAUUUACCAAGAUUUCUAACAAAAUAUUAAUAUUUAUCAUAGCAUACUUUGAUAUAUACCAAAAUUUCUAAUGGAGUCCAAUAUUUCUAUAAAACUUUGUUAGAAAUUUUGGUAUACUAAUAUUUGGAUUUACAACUUUAUAUCAAAAUUUCUAGCAGAGUACCAAUAUUUCUAUGAAAUUUCAUUAAAAUUUUUGGUGUACCAAAAUCCGUAUUUACAAGCUUUUGUCUAAAUUUUCAAUGAAAUAUUAAAAUUUCUAAGAGCUUAUCCUUAGAUAUUUUGAUAGAUACAUAAAAAUUUUGGUUGGAUCCGAACUUGAUAUUUGUAAAGGUUAGACAUUUUUAAAAAACUAUUUUAAGAACAGUUAUUUCUCCUCCAUGUGCAGACAAAUCAAGAAAUAUUAUUCUCCAGAUAUAAAACGUUUACUCGAACAAAAUAAAUUUAAAAAUUAUUCUAAAUAAGAAUGAAAUCCAAUUACAUACAAAAAAAAAAAAUACUUUAAUAGUUUCCUUCUCUUAUAAUUCAAUUUCAUAUUUCAAUUCUCAUUUUUAGUGUUUAUAUAUAUAAAAUAUCAAGAGAUAUCUAUGGCUGUAUUAUGUCUAUUUACAUAGUUAUCAUGUCUAUUUACAUAUAGAGACACCUAUUUUCAAUUACUUUCUUUCUUCCAUUUUAUAUAUACAUAGUAUGUAUAUAUGAUUGAUGUAAUAAUAUAAAACUUUAAUAGUAUAUAAUAUACAACAGUUACCAUAGUUUCUAAUGGAGUACUAAUAUUUCUAAUGGAGUACAAAACUGUAUCCUCAACUAACAAAGAAAAAUAAAAGAUUUUAGAGAUUCAAUCUGUAUAAAAUCCAACCAAAAGAAUGGAAAUUCAGAGAAAAGAAAGUGUUUACAACCCAACUUUAGAUGUAUUUCAUAAAUUUUUUUCAUAUGAUAAUCCCCAAUACAACAAGAUCCAACAUAAUAUGAAAAAAAUUUGAAAAGGCUGAUUUACACCAAUUCAGAUCAUCUCUCUCUAUAAAUUUUUUUCUCUAACAAAAAGGAUAAAAGCUGUAGUAAUUUGUAUGAACCAAAUGCAUAGAACAUUAAAAUCUAACAGUAUUAGGACCCCAACAGUUCAAAUCCAUAACUUUCUUCAUAGUCUGCUCAGCUUUCCUCAUCUUUUCCUCCCUCAACUUAUUUGAAACAGCAGCAGCAGCAGAAGAAGAUGAAGAAGAAGAAGAAGAAAAGAAAGAAGAAGAUCUGAUAUUGUUCUUGGCAUGUUGAUGCAGUGACCUAAUGGUGUAAUUCCACCUGCAAAUGCCUUGGUCUUUCAAUGCCUCAACUGCUCCGAUUGUGGCUGCCACAAUCCAGGCUUUGCUUGCUGAAACUGCUCCACUGCUCAUUCUUCAAAAAUGGGUCUUUGAUGGGAUUUUGCUUGGAGGUUUAGAUUGAGAUUUUUGGUUGGUGAAAGGGAAGUUGGUUUGGUUUUAUAUAGGAAAGUGGGUUUGGUUUUAUAUAUAAAGGUGGGGGGAAGAACAGGACCCAUGGUUUUGGGAGACAAAACCAAGGGGCUUGAAGGGUGGGUGGGUUAUGCCAUAGGAGAUUAUUGAGUUUUACGCGUUGGAAAAUAUAAACUGAUGGCUUGAACAUGUGACUGUCUUGGAAUCGACUUUAUAGAAAGAUUCUAGGAACCAUCCUCACUUGGCGUCCCUAUUUAAAUUUUAUUACAUGUAUUUCGACCUCAUCAUGUGACGGCUGUCUCUGUUUAAGUUCCAGGAUUUCGUUGGAAAGUUGGAAGGGUUUUAGAUUAAAUAUUAGGACUAAAAAAAAUUAUUAAAAUACGAAUUGAGUUUGAGUAAAAGUGUUUAUAAGUUAGGUUGAGUUGAGCUUAGUAACAUAUUUUAUGAUUGUUCAAGUCUGAUUCGAUUCGAAAUAUGUAUAUAAAAUUUUGUCUAAAUUCAUUCAUAUUUGUAAUAGAUUAAUCUAAACUUAUUUUAGGCUCGUCUAUAUUAUUUUUAAAACUUUUUAAAAAUUAUAUUAUAUUAUUUUAAUAUUUAAUAAAAAAUUUAUAUUUUUUUAUUUAUUGAAAGUUUUUAUAAAGUCAUCUUAAUUAUUUUAAUAUUUAUAUUAGAGUAAUAUUAUAUAUUUAGUAUAAGUUUAUUUCUUAUUGUGUUCUAAAUUAUAAAAUAUAUAAAAAUAAUAUAAUAUAAAGUAUUAUAAACUUAAAAGCGGGUUGGCUAGGCUCAAUUCUUGAAUGUUUAAGUUUGAGCUCGAACUAUAUUUUAAAUGAGCCUAAUUUUUUCCCAAGCCCUCGGACUUGAUAUUUUUGUCAAGCCUUCUCAAAUUUCAGGCGGGUCAUUGGGUCUAGACAAGUAACCCGACCCAUAAACAAGUCUCAGUUUGAGUUUUAAUAUUUAAAUUUUUAAUUUGAUUUGGUCGUUUUUUAAAGUUUGUACAAUAUUAUAUUAUGUUAUUUUUAUAUAAUAUACAAUUUCGAACACAUGAAAUUUAAAUUUAUGAUAAUAUAUAAUAUUAUGAUCUAAACAUUAAAAAUGUCAAAUUGAUUAUAUAUAAAAUUUCAAUAACUGAAAAAUAUAUAAAAAGAUUAAAUUAUAAAUUAUAAAUAAUAUAAAUAUAAAUAUUUUUUUAAAUUUUAAAAAAUAAUAUAGGCUUAGAUUAGUUAUUGUACAAAUAUGAGUGAAUUUAGAUAAAAAUUUUCCACAAUAUUAGUUAUAAUUUUGUGCCUUAUAUUGAGUCUAAUUGUAGUUAUAUGUAUUACUUGUAAUUAUGGGUUCUACAUCUACCUUCAACAACAACAAUAACAUUAAAUUCAACGUGUAAUAAUUUUUUUUUAAUUUUAAAAAUAUGAUAUUAAUUAUUUUAAUAAAAAAUAAUAAGCUUAUCUAAUUAAAAGGGUAUUAUAACUUUUGGCCUUUGAAUUUGGUAAGUAGGUUACAGUAAAAAAACAGGGGAUAAUGUAACUUUUGGCCCCUAAACUUGGCAAGUAGGUCUAUAUUGGCCCAUUAACUUGACAAUUAGGUUCAUUUUGGUACAUGUACCUUUUUUUUUGGUCCAUUUUGAACUUGACAAUUAAGUUCAUUUUGAUCCUUAAACUUGAAAAAUCUAAAAGGUUAGUGAUGUGGCACUUUGAGUUUGAAAAAAAAUUAGAUGAUGAUGAUAUGGUACAAUCUCAAAGUGUCAUAUUUAGUGUUUUAAUAAUUGAACCCAUGGUUGAAUAGGAUAGACCACCAGUUCUCGAAUCAACCAGUUCGAUCAAUUCAAUCGUUGGUCUAACAAUAAUUAAAUAAAUAAUUAAAAUUCUUAAAAAAUUUAAAAAAAGAAAAAAAGAAAGAUAAAACCAGAUUUGGUUAAAAUUCUCAUAAAUGCUGAUUUUAUAAAAAAAUGACCGGAUUAAGCCGGUUUUUGAAAAAUUAUUGGAUUAGGCUGAAAAGACAAAAACACUUCCAAUUGGAAGUAUUUUUCUUCUGUUAGGAUUAUUUUAUUUUAGGGUUAGAGUUUUGAUUUUUGUUAAGGUAGGGUUAGGGUUUUGUAUGUUUUAGUGUUUUAGAGUUUAUGGGUUUAGGGUUUUUUUAUAUUUUUUAAUUUUUUAUAUAAUUUUUUGACUUUUUAUAAUUUUUUAGUUAUUUUAAAAUAUAUAUUUUAAAAUAUCUAAUAUUAUAUUUUAAAAUUUGAAAUUAUCUAUUGCCAAAUUUGGUGUAAUUUUUAAAAAUGACAGGUACUAAAAGAGUAUUUACAACAAUCGUAUAUUCGAAUUGUGAAAUUUAAUUCAAUUCAAAAUCGAAACUCGAACUAAUCAAAACUCUUAGUUUGUAUUUUUUUUUGAUUUUUUUAAUGCAACUGAGUUUUGAUCACUCGCAACUUACGAUAAGUUAAAGUCCACCAGAAUUUUUCAAAAAAAAUUAUCUCGGGAUACCUAAUGGGUGAGUGGGAAAUUGUAGGAGUUGAAAGUGGUAAUGAGAAAACGCUCCACGUAGGGCGCGUUUUCAAUGAAUAUUUCUGACAUGUCACUAAAAAUGCGCCCUAUGUGGAGUGUUUUCCCUCUACCAAAUUCAACACAUGCAAACUUCCCACUCACCCGAGAAAGUUUUCUGAAUCAAUUGCCACUCACCCCGACUUUAUAAAAGGAUGACUUUUAGCAUUGUGUGCUAUAAGACAAUUUCGAGCAAACAAAAUGGCAAGAAGAAUCGCAAGAAGAGGAACCGCAAGGCAUUUUCUAAGGCAUAAUUUGGAGCAAACACGUAAUUACAUCAAGUAAGGUUUGAUUUUUUUAUUCAUAUAUAAUUACAACUCUAUUUUUUUGCAUAAUGCUUUUUUUUUGAACAUGUGAAACAAGUUAUUUCAUUGAAAAUGAGUGGACGAAUUAAUGUUGUUUAUUACGACAGUGAAGUCUGUGACAUCGAUAAUGGGGUUUUUUUUAAUCAGAAAACACAAUGUGGUUGCAUUUCAACCCUAACGUACAAUUUUCGGAGCUACAUGUAAGAAUUAGGUAAAAAAUCGUCGGAUCCAACCAGAUGAGAGUAUCUUUAUUAAAAUAUCGAUUCUGUGCUUCGAUUGACCUUGUCAAAUAUGACGCUUUCGAAAUUAGAGGCGCAAGGGGGAUGGAGGCGAUAGUGCAAGUGCAUAUUGCUAGUGGAUCACCAAUACUCAAGUUAUAUGUGAAGUUUGAAAUCACAGAUGAAGGCGAUUAAAGGUUGACAUAAGUUCCAGUUUGAGAGGUCGGAAUAGAAGAACAAGUUAAGAGUCUAACAACGUAGUUGUGCGGUGGCUCACUUCUUUGUUAGAAAGUUUCUAUUAUGAUAUCUCAUAAUCAUCAAUGGGAAGACACUCAUCGGUUUAGCUUUAGAUUUCAACUGCGACAGGCAACACAUCCAACAGUCAGGUUUUGGUAGUAACCCAAAAUAUUGGAUCCCAGUACGACACUCAGUUGUGGUUUUGAUUUGAACUUCGGUCAACCGAUGUUCAUGUUGGGAACAUUUACAGGGGAAUGACAUUAAGUUCCAGCGGUUGACAAUCAACAGAUGAUUUUGGUUGUUUUGACAAAUAUACUAUAAGGGAUGAUGUACUCCUAAUAACGUCCAUCGGCGAAGGGAUAUCCAACCCUAAAGGUUUUGGUGGAGUUAAGAAUGAAGAGGGUACUGAAUUGAAGUUGGUCCAAUCUUGGAGCCAAGGGUUGAUGGUUCAACAAUUGCAUUAUUUUCUAAACAAAAGCCGAUUUCAACUGAACCAGAAAAUGAAUGUUCUGGCGGUGAAGGUCCAAGCAAAGAUUCUGAAUAAGAUCUGCUGUUCAAGGAUUACUCACCUCCGACCCACCAUGUGGAUUUUUUAGCAGAAUGAGAGUUGAAAGUUGUAGAAUUCCUACAGAAAAGAUCAUACCAUGUGAGUUCUUCAUUGGAUUAAGGCCUCAUUUGGUUUGACUUUUAGCACCAGUGAGGUGCAGUUGGGGUAGGUUUAUGCUUUUAAUCUCAUUGAUAUGCUGUUUAGUUCAGUAUUACAGUUCAGUGAAAAUUAAUUUCAACCUCACUGCUGUGCUGAAAAGGGGCUGGAGAUUUCAACAGCAAUUAAGGGCAUUGGGGCAGUGGGUAUUUUUAACAGACAAAAAUACCCAUACUUUUAUUUAUUAUUUUAUCAUUUUAUCCUUGAAAGUUAAAUUGAUUUCUUUCCCAACCUCAUUUGUUUUUAGAUUUGGGAAGAAAACAACUGUUUAUUUUACCAUUGUAUGGGGUGUUUGUGCUGGUUCUUCUUUUUCAUAUCUGCGAUUUCUUUUUCUUUUUCUCUUCAGUUAUCAGCCACCACUGUGUCCACCAUUUUGUUUAGGACCUGAUCUGUAUCCCGUGUCGAAAUUCGUCGAAACUGCCGAGUCCAGGUAAUGAAUUAGUUCUUUCCUCUUUCUCUGAGAUUGGUAUAAUCUAUAAGUAUAGAAUGAAGCCUCUGUAACAAAAGAAAUAUAUGAAACAACAAAUCUAGAAAGGUAUAUAUUUAUGAUCUCCUUUAGUUGCGGGUUUAACGUAUGCACAAAAGGGUGAUUUCUUCUUCUUCUGCAUGUUUCUUACCCCACCGUAAAGAUGAUGCACCAAUAGCUUAUUUUAAUAUUGAAGAAAAUAUUGACAAAAAAAAAGCAGACUUUUCUCAAACUUGGAAGUUGAUAGGGAGCAUUUGAAACAAAGUGAGAUUAUGGAAGGUGAGAAUUCCAAUUGGCAUUUUCUAAUACUUGGAAUAUUUAUGGCCAAAGGAGUCCUUUCUUUUCAAAUCAUAUCUCCAUAUUAUUCCUCCAUUACUAUUUAUUAUAUUAUUCCUCCAUAUAUGCUAUUUAGAUUUUCAAAGAUUAUGAAUUUAAAGUGGGUUUUUUUAACCAAAAUAAUUAAUUUAUAUUUCAUAUAGUUAUGAAGCCCCUUGCUGCUGAAGUUUGAAGCAGAGUAGGCUUCCCUACUAUUGACGGAUUGGCUCAAAAGUUUGAAAGUCAUAUCCAACAUAAGACUUGCCAUCUCAUAUUAAUUUCUUGAACUAUAAAUUCAACUUAGCAAACCCUUUUUUUUCUUUUUGCAGAAAAUGACAAGUACAUGCAUGCACAUGCAAUUUCUUUUUCCAAUAAAAAUGCUUUCCUUGUACAAUAUUAACACUGCUUCAACACUACUGAAUCUUAUUCAUGUUUCUCCUUAGCCGAAUGCUUAAUUUGAUUCAUCAAGUCUUUUUAUGCUUUCUCAAACUCAUUUAUUACCUUCCAAAAUUUUCAGAGCUGAUCCGAUUUAAGUAAGCAAGGAGGAAAUUAGAAUUAAUAAAUAUUCUUUUGAAAAAAAAAACCAAAGAGUAUCAUAACUUGUAAUUGUAGUGGUCAUAUGUUGUUAAAUCUAUUAUUGUUACAUGGUACAUCUGUUAGUGAUUUUUGUCUCUUCUUUAUUUAUCCUAAUGUUUCCCCUUUUUGAUUUUAAUGUCUGCAGCGACAAGAGCAACUAUCUAAAUUCAUCCAAAAGUAAGAGGUAAUUUAAUGUCUUUAAAAAUUCCUUUAUUCAUUUUGAAAAGAUAGUCAUAAUCAAUUAUCCUUUCUAUAUCCUCGUUAUUGUUUACCAUAGAUCUUUGAGAAUUUUUUCUUUAGUGCUCAUCUUUUGGCUUUCAUCCAUUUGUGAUGUAUUAUUCUUAUUUUUUAUGAAACUAUAUUAUUAUAUCUAAUUAUAUAUUUAUGGUUUUAUAUCGUUUGACAUUAAAAAUCAAAAUAAUAAUAAUAAAUGGUAAAGACAUGAAAUUUUGUGGAGGGAGAUAGUACAUUAACAACAAAAGCUAUUUGGGAUGAUGAUCUGACGUUGAUAUUUUGUGAACUUUGCGUGAAUGAAGUCAAUGCUGGUAAUAGACCGACAACUCAUCUAAACUCAAAAGGAUGGGAAAAUGUCAUUGCUCUUUUUCAAGUAAAAACACAAAAAAAUUAUGGAAAACCUCAAUUGAAAAAUAAGUGGGAUACAAUAAAAAAGGAAUGGAGGUUAUGGAGGGAGUUGCUUAAGGAAUCUACAGGUAUUGGAUAGUGUCCAUCUAAGAAGACGGUCGAUGCUGUCGAAGAAUGAUGGUCUGAAAAAAUACAGGUUAGUGUUAAAUUUAUCAUUAUUUUAAUGCAUAAAGUUUAUUGAAAUUAAUAAUUUAGAAUGAUAAAAUUAUUAGUAUAACAUUUAACAUUUAACAUGUUAUGUAGGAAAAUCCUGAUUUUAAAGGAUUUAGAAGAAAUGAAUUGAACCACGAUUGAAUAAGUUAAUGUGGCAAAUGUUUGGUGGCAUUGUAGCCACCGGAGAGAAUGCAUGGGCACCUUCGUCUGGUGUUCUUCCAAGUGGGGUUCCUAUGGGAGAUGAUACACCUAAUGAGGGAUUUGGUGAUUCAGAUGAACAUAGUAAUGAGAAUGAAGGUAUUCCUCCUAAUGAGGUGCCAUAAAACCCUUCUUAAGAAACUCCUAAUCAAAGAAAACAAACACUUGGGGUUGUACACGGUAAAGGAAAAAAAUCAAGUUCAAGUGGAAAAUCAUCAAGAAAUACAUUAACUACUCAGAUCGAGAAAUUGUGUGACAGUAUGGCUAGUCCAAGGAAGUCUGUGAAUGAAAUUAUUUUUCUUCACUCUCAAUAUACUAUUUCAAAUGCAAUGGAUGCUUUGCGUGCUUUGGGAGAUGAAAUUCCAAAAAAAGAUGAACUGUACUAUUUUGCCAUCAAAAUGUUCCAAAUAUCGGUGAAACGAGAAGUGUUUUUGAACUUAGAUCCAGAUGUUAGGGUUUGGUGGCUUCGACGUGAGUAUACAAAAUCCAAUUGCAUUGUUACAGGCCAAUUUUGGGCCCUUUACAAGAUACCCGAAGCCCACUAACCAUUACUCACUUAUAUCAAACCCACUUGCAUUUACAACAUUAACCCAUUAAUCCCAAAACAACCUACCAAGCUAACCCAAAACCCAAUUACAACCUUUACCUACUAACCUUACAAAACCAUUACCCAUCAAUAUCCUCAACCCAAUACAAACUUAUCAGACCCACUUAAACCCCUAAAACCCACUAACCCAUCAAACCCAACAAAUUACAUAGCCCAAUACAUUUAAACUCCAACCCGUUAGCCCAACGAGACCUAAGCCCAAGUCAAAAAAUAGAAACCCUAGCCGAACCUACCCCCCCACUUGCCCGCUUGCGCCGCAACCACUAACACCACCGGCCAACCACCCUCUGACUCACCUGCUCCACCGUUUGCCCAUCCCCUGCAAGGACAAAAAAGAAGACAUGACAGAAACAGUAAAAAUGGAUGUAAAAGAGUUAUAAAACCCGAUUCAAAAACAUUGUAAAGGGUUCGGCAGUUUUGAAAACACAAAAAAUAAGAAAAUCAUUUCAAAUACAGAAUCAAAAUAGCAGUCCAUUGAGCAUUUAGAUUCAAUAACAACGUUCAAAGCAAACGAAAUAUCAAUGAUCAACAAAUCAGAAGCUAAAAGACCAAAAUGUGAUUUUUUUAUAUUUCUAUUUCAUUUUAAAACCUAUUUUAAUCACCUAUACAUAUUGAAAUACAAUAAAAUAAUAAGAUAAACAAGUGAAAUAAAAAAAAAGAGAAAAAAUUUGAAAUUUUACCUCUCCGGCCACCGUGUACGAUGGCCGGCGCUGGCGCCACCGACGAUCCAGCGACCAGACCGGUGACCGGUCCAUGGUCGGAUUUCGCCCCCUCCCCUCUCUUCCUCUUUUUUUUUCCUUCCUACUAGCACAAUUGAUUUUUUUUUUAGGAUUUGGGCUUUUUAUAGCCAUCCAAAACGACGUUGUUUUGGGGGCUGCCUUUUAACCCCAAAACAACGUCGUUUUGAGCAUGACCCAAACCGUCCGACCCGACCCGCUAGAGGAUCCGCGUGUUUUUGAUUGAAUGGGAUAUUUAUGUGUGUGGUCCUUCUGUUUUUUAGGCAUUUUACAAUUCAGUUUCUAUUUAUUUAUAAAUUGGCCCUGAUAUUUGUUAUGAUUCUCAAAUUGAUCCUCUAUGAUGCGCAUCGUUUAUAAAUGAGUCCUUUCCUCUUUGCUUUCCUUUAAAAUUAGCCCCAAACUUUGUUUUGUAAUUCGAUUUAGUCCUCUUUGUUAUAUUACUGCUUUAUUUUUAAAUUAUUUAUUUUUUCAUUUUCUGUUAUUUAUUAUUAUUAAUUAUAAUCUUUAUAUUUUCAUUAUAUUUACUAUAUUUUAUGUAUGUAGUGGUGUAUAUUGUAUUAUGUACAUAUAUGUGUAUAUAUUUAGUAUCUUUAUAUAUUUAUGAAACAUUAUUAUUAGUUCUUUUUAAAAUGUAUAUUAUGUAAAUAUUUUAAUAUUGUAUUCUAUAUAUAUAUAUAUUUCUCAUAUAUUAAAAACAUAUGAUCUCAAUAUAAUUAUGUGCAUUUUAGUGUAUACCUAUAUAUUUUUGAAAUAUUGUCAAUAGUUUUUAUUAUUUUUUUAAUACGUAUAUAUUAUGUAUAUUUACUACAUUAUAUUUUUUAUGCAUAUAUUUCAAAUAAUAUAUAUUAAGUAUUUCUUACGUCAUUAUUAUAUAUGUACGUAUUUAUGUAUCGUACGAGCAUUUUAUCACUUCUAAUAUGUAUAUCGUAUGUAUUUAUAUAUCAUGUAUUUUUCUUAUUUAUUUAAUAUUUUUACUAUUAGUUGCAUAUUUUGAUGUUACUUCAUGUAUAUAUUUUUAAUAACUAUCAUGUACAUUUUUAAUGCCAUAUAUAUAUUGUAUAUUUUUCAAUAACUAUAUUAUAUGCAUAUACUAUGUAAAUAUCUUAAUGCAAUAUUUUGUAUAUACCACUACUCUGCGUCUAUUUAUGUUGCAUUGUUAAUGGUUUUCUUUUACUAUUAUUAUCCUUAAUAUAUGUAUGCAUUUUCUAAUACUUUAUCAUAUAUAUAUGUAUAUGUAUUUUUGUUGUAUUAUGUACGUAUAUAUAUAGUAUUAUCUUAAUUACUUUAUUUUAAUAUUGUUAUUAUAUUAUAUUUGUUUUUUAUAUAUAUUAUAUCAUCAUUUUAGUAUUACUGUUAUAUAAUAUUAGUGUAUAUUUUUAUUAUAUAUGUAUACAUAUAUAUAUUUGCACAUAGUAUCACUUUCAACUUUAUUGUAAUAUUUUUAUAUAUUAUGGUUAUGUAUGUGAAUUUAAUAUACUUAUGUAUCAUAUUACAUAUAUCUUUUAUACACGUUAUGUAUGCUUUCAAUACAAUACUUAUAUAUAUUGUUACGUAUAUAAUCUUAAUGUCAUUUUUUUACAUAUGUAUAUUCGUUGUGUUCUCGUGUUUGAUAAUAUAAUUACAUUUAAUCUUGCAUGCAUUUGUUAGUGUUUUUAAUAUUAUUGUCAUAUUUGUUACUUGCUUCAAUAUAUUUCUAGUUCUUCCAUUUAUUUCAUCUCAAUUUGUUUUACAUUACUUCGAAAAUCUCAUUCGUAUUUUCUAACUAAUUUCAAUAAUCAAGGCAAUGUACCGAUUUAACAUUAAGUCAUCGAAUUUCAUCGCUAUGUUGGAUGGAAUUUGUCGGCUCGUGUUAAAGACGAAAUACCCUUCUAAAAAACCAAAAACUAAAAUUUCUUGUCUUUCCAAUUGGAUCAUGACUAAAUGUUACAUUAAACUCGUAUUUUUGAAAAUCAAGACAACACAUGUUUAUAAGAUACCAAUUUUGGGUGUCGCGAGGGUGCUAAUACCUUCCUCGCGCGUAACCGACUCCCGAACCCUAAUUUUUCUCUGGAUUUUCACGUAGACCUAAAUUUGGCCUUCAUUUUUUAAAGUAAAUGUAUUUUCAAAAAAAAAGAUUAUUUAUUAGGUGUCCGAUCACUCUUAGGAAAAAGGAUCGGUGGCGAAUCCCCUUUUUUUAUUUAUUUCAAAUCAAACUUCAGUUUUCAAGUUUUCACUAAAUUGCCACAAUUAGCGACCAAGUUAAAAAUUUUCACGUCGCUACAGAUGGCGACUCCACUGGGGACGUACUUUUGAGAGUCGAGUUGAGUUAAACACGUGUUGUCAAAAUUUUUGAACUUCCUUGUUCAAAUUAAUAUUUAGCCGCGAUCUUCAAAUAUUGUUUUCAAAAAAAUCAUGCAUUCGUAUCAUGUUGUAAAUAUCCUUCUAACUUGUUUUAUCUUAUUGAUUUUCAGCUCUAAGCUUUUUUAGCUUUUGUAGUUUAGUUUUGAAAUACACGCAAAGGUUUGCGAGUUUCUCCCCACACACCGUGCACGUGCAUCUUUGCAUAACAUGAGCUCUAUACCUGGGCUCCGUCCGUUUAAGUGAAAGUAAACACUAUGCCUUCGUGAGUUAACUCGUCCCUCCGCACAGGCUAGUGAAUACUUUCGGGUGACAUAUGACUUAUGCUUUCGUGAGUUAACUUGUCCCUCCGCACAGGCAUAAGUAAAUGUAAUCCUUCAAAUUGAACUCGUGAACCUGUGAUGGGCUACGACCGAGGCUUCGUACUAAUCUUAGUAGAUGACAGUACGGACAAUUCGAGUACCCACUAGAACCGAAACCGCAUAUAGUGAACCAUAUGAGCCACCUAAUUAGAGCCAUGCCGAACCUCCGUCCGUUAAUAGUCACCAAAAUAAAUACAUGGGAGAAACGCCUCUUCCCUUUUAUUUCUUUGACAUUUACACUUUCUAUUUUGAUUUUCUGUAAUUCAUAUUUGUUGUACUAACCAAGAUAUUUGUCUGUGUUCUUAUUUUGCAUCAUGCAUUAUUGGCAUCAUAUUAGGAAGGUGUUGACUAGAGAUUGGUUGCCAAAAAAUGGGUUUCUAAUGGAAGAGUCAAUUAUACAAACAACCGAGAAGAAUGCCGUGGUUUGGGACUGGUCUCUAAAACUCAAAAAGAAAAAGGGGAUAGUCUAGUGGAGGGAUGUAUUGCCAAUCUGCCCGAGCACGUAAUCGUGAAUGUUCGCCAGAAUAACCUUGAAGAUUUGGUUUGGGUUUGGAAUCAGUGGGAUUCGGACACUAGGAGUAUCUUCACUAAAAGAUAUGGGACAUAGCCAACUCGAUUGCUGUCAACAUAGACGAACGAUUGAUCCAAGUCAUGGUCAGAUUUUGGGAUCCGGCUUACCAAUGUUUUACCUUCAAUCAUGAAGAUAUGACUCUGACUAUAGAGGAGUACGUUGCUUUGCUUCGUGUUGAAAAUGCGCAAUUCCAUAAAGUAUAUGUGAAGGAGCCUAAACCGAUGACCUUCAAGAAGAAGUUAGUGAGAUUGACAGACAUGAUUGACGCAUGGGCCGAAAAACAGAUAAAGAAGAAGAAUGAAACCAUUUGCAUUCCAUGGUCUUCCCGACGAGAUUUGGUUCUGAACCAUCCCGACAUGUUGAAAAGGGUAAAUCUAUUUGCUUUGUCCAUUUACGGUUUGAUCAUCUUCCCGAAAGUCCUUGGACACAUAGAAGUUGCGGUGGUGGAUUUUUUCAAAAAAUUAAAGCAAGGAAUCAACCCUGUCCCGACUAUCCUAGCCGAGACCUUUAGAUCCUUAAACAGUUGUAGGAAAAUGGGGAAAUGACGCUUUAUCAGAUACGCGCAGUUACUAAAUGUCUGGAUUUUAAGUCACUUCUGGAAAGUAGAGCCCACGCCGUUCCAUAUCUUUUCAAAAACAUUUGCCCCGUUGGAAGCUUAUCUUAAGAAAGAAUGGCCAAAGGAAGUCACUGAACAGCAUUGGGUCUCAGUUUUUCAGAACCUUCGCGCCGAGGAUAUAACGUGGAGAGCACCGUGGAUCCGCCCUUCGGUUCUAUUAUACAAGGUUGGAAAUCAAGAUUGGGUACCACUACUCGGGUUAUGGGGAGGAGUUGGAUAUACCCCGCUAUUAGUCCAAAGGCAAUUUUCUUCGCGACAAUUCAUACCCACCACUGGAGGAUUAGCACAGUCUGAGUUUGCUUUUGCGGGCGAGGGAUAUAUGAAGAGGGUCCAAGAAACCGCAAAGUCUUGGAAGAGAAUUUAUCUGAUAGAAUUGACUCUAUAUGCUGAUACCCUCACCCAAGAUUACGACAUGUGGAGGAAGCUACGGGUGAAUAGUCAGUAAAUCUUGUCAACAAGCUACAUCGCCCAGAAUCCUUUCUCGGAGGAAAUGUUGUCUGAGCUAGAAAUGGCAAGACAAAAAGUUGAACGAGAAAAGGCCAAGAUGUCUCGGGACCUUAGUGCUCUUCAAGAGAAAAACUACCAAUUGAAGAUCGAUGUUCAGAUUGAAAGAUCUAGAACCGAGAAAGUGCAAAAAGAAGUUGAAGUCGUAAGAAAUGACUUAAAGGGACCUCCAUCUGGAAAAUAAAAAGUUAAGAGGCACAAUAAAAAAUAGUGGGCUGGGCAAGUCAUCGGCAGAAUGGAAAGAAGAAAUAAGCAACAUUAAAGGCAGGAUGGAAUUUUGGAAAGAAAAAGUGAAGAAAGAGGAGGAAAAGGCUGCGCGGGCUAUGAUUGAACUAAGGAGGAAGAACACCGAAUAUGAAACUGUGUCUGCUGAACUUACGAUUAGUCAGUCUGAAAGCUGAGAGUUAAAGGAGAGAAUACGGGAAUUAGAAGAUAUGCUGCAAGAUCGUCAACAACAGUUAGAUACUCUCUUAGAGGCUUUGGAAGAAAAGAAUAGUCAAUAUGAUAGAGUCAUCCGUGCUUACGAAGAGGGCCUCCAAGAAAAAGAAAUGCAACUUAGCUAUUUGAUCAAUGAAAUUCAUGGAGUAGCCAUGCACGUGGUACAACUAUUGGAAGAAGUUGAAAUUCUCAUUUUCCAAUUCCCUCCAAGUCGAAGAUCGAACAUAUCAGAAUUCAUAGCACGAGUAAAGAAAUAUGGCGAUAUAGCUAGGAAGUUUGUGUAAUGGUUGAAUCGAAAAUGGAAAAGUGUUUUGUAAUGAAUUCUUUUGAUGAAUGAAAUGCCUAAAUAGGGGCUAUCUUGAAAUCAAUACCCAUUUCUUGAAUUUCUUUCAUGAUUGAAAUUCAUUUAUGCACUCAUUCAUUCAUUGCAUGUACCUAUCCCAUAAUCAUUCGCUAAGGUUAGAAUCAUAUAAUUCGCAGUCAUAACACUUCAAAUCUAGAAUCACGCCAUUCGUAUAGAACGCGUCGACAAGCUAGAACAAUGGAGGCUGAGUUCAAUGAAAGAAUCGAAAGGAUGGAAAGAGUCUAAAGGGAAUUACAAGAACAACUGGCUAAGUCACAGCAAGAGACAAGAGACUUAAUGGUGAGAUCUCAAGAAGAAUCACUCGAACAAAGGGACCAAAUGGACAAGAUGAAGGAAAUGAUGUCAGCUCUAGUAAAAGGAAAAUGACCUAUGAACCCUGAUGUUGUGGAACAGCAGUCAAGGGUUAACCUCGAUCAAGAUCCGCUCUAUCCACCAGGAUUCACUCCACCUUACACACAUGUAAUUCAAAGAGAACUCCCUUAAGGAGAACCUACAGGCCUGGAGCAACGACCUGUACCACCUUCUAAUUUGGGGCAGGGAGUAUUUAUAUCAAACCUGGGGGCUAGUCCUGCUGAUCCGCUCGUUUCAGAUUUAGACGAUCCAGCAGAGAUAGCCAGGUUGAAAAUGGAUGAUCACAAUGUUCAGGAUAAGUAUAGGAGUUUGGAAGAAAGACUCAAAGCGAUAGAAGGUAUUGAAGCCUUCUCUGCAUUGAGUGCCAAAGAGCUCAGUUUAGUGCCUGAUCUGGUUCUGCCUCCGAAGUUCAAGGUGCCUGAUUUUGAAAAGUACGAUGGGACAAGAUGUCCAAAAGCGCAUCUUGUAAUGUUUUUGCUGAAAAUGACGGGUUAUGUGAACGAAGAUAAGCUACUCAUACAUUGUUUUCAGGAUAGUCUAGUAGGAUCGGCUCUUCGGUGGUAUAACCAACUUAAUAGGGAAAAGAUCCGAUGCUGGAAGGACUUGGCGUCAGCCUUCUGUGAGCAGUACAAGCAUUUAUCAGAUAUUGUGCCUGAUCGAAUGACUCUACAAAUGAUGGAAAAGAUGCCAGCAGAAACCUUUAGAUAGUAUGCGCAAAGGUGGAGAGAUAUCUCGGCCCAAGUGGAGCAUCCACUGACUAAGAUUGAGAUAAUAGUCCUUUUCAUCAAUACUCUGAGAGCACCAUUCUAUGACAAGCUGGUGGGAAGUGCUACGAAGGAUUUUUCGGAUAUCGUAAUAAUCAGAGAACUUAUUGAGAAUGCCAUCAAAAGUGGGAGGAUGAAAGGUUCAGAAAGUUCAAAAAGGGUAGCGCCCAUGAAGAAGAAAAAACCAGAAGCCCAUAUGGUGGGAAUGGGAAGCCGUUAUACCCCUAAUCCAUAUCCAAACCACCCCGACCUCGAAAUUAUCCUCCUCCAAAUUUCUAUUAUCCUCCUCAGAUCCCUUACUAUCAAGCACAACCUCAUUCCUACCCUGUAUACGCCAUAAACAACCAAAGGCCCGUCACCACAUUCCUAUAAAACACUCUACCCGCUCAAAUCCAACCCAGAAAUGAACCAAGACUAGCAAGGCCCAAUCCCGAGAGACCGCAAUUUACCCCUAUCCCCAUGUCGUAUGGGGAACUGUACCCAAAACUCUUGGAGAAGCAAUUAAUAUCUCCCCAUUACAUGGCACCCCUUAAACCUCCAUACCCGAAAUGGUACGAUCCAAAUGCUAGUUGUGCAUACCAUGCCGGGAACCAGGGGCACUGUACGAAAAACUGCCUUGCCUUCAAAAGGAGAGCUUAAGGACUCAUCGAUGCGAGCAUUCUGCGAUUUGAUGGUACUGGCGGUACGGCUGGAAACCCAUUCCCAAACCACACCGAAGGGAAUGUAAGCGCAGUGGGGAAGGAGGACGGAUAGCAAGUCAGAAGAUAUGUUUUGGAAAUAAGGACGCCUCUGUAGAAAAUCUGGGAGGUACUAGUUAAGAAAGGAUUGCUUUGUCACCCUGACAAAAUUCUCGGAGAAGAAGGUCAAAGUUUUUGCGAUUUCCAUGGAACUGUAGGACACGACAUUUAAUCGUGUAAGGAAUUUAAAAGGUUGUUUCAAGACCGGAUGGAUAAUAAGGAGAUUAAAGUCCUUAACAAAAGGGAAGAAGCCAACGAAAGAGAAGUAUGUGCCUCUGACAGCCAAUCAUCAGGCCUCCCUUAUAGCACCGACCGACCGUUAAUAAUUUAUUAUGACGCGAAGAAGGAGCCGGUGAAACCAAAAGUGAUAAUCGAGGUACCAUCUCCUUUCCCCUACAUGGACAAUAAAGCAGUACCAUGGAAAUACGACGUCAAUAUCAUCACACCUGAAGAUGAGAAACCCAAAGCCAUGACUGGAAGCAUUGGGAAAGUAGGUCAUUUCACUCGUAGUGGAAGAUGUUAUUCGAGAGAGGUCGAACCAGUGAAGAAGAGCAGUGACUUGAAACAGAAAGGAAAAGCACCUAUGCACGUGAUCGAAGAUGAGCAUGAAACUAUGCCUGAAUAAGAAGCUAAAAAGCCUGUAGACGAGGAGGAGGCACAGGAGUUCUUAAAAUUUAUCAAGCAUAGUGAGUAUAAUAUGGUGGAACAAUUGAGUAAGCAGCCAGCACGAAUCUCGGUAUUAUCUCUACUAUUGAAUUCAAAACCACACCGGAAUGCCAUGCUGAAAGUGUUAAAUCAAGCUUAUGUGGCAAACAAUAUAUCUGUUGAAAAGCUGGAUAGGUGGGUGAAUAACUUGAAUGCGGAUAAUUUUAUUUCUUUUAGUGAUGAUGAAAUACCGCCCAAUGGUAGAGGCUCAGUGAAAGCAUUGCAUAUCAUAACCCGUUGUAAGGGUUAUAUAAUACCGAACAUGCUCAUCGACAAUGGGUCGGCACUCAAUGUCAUGCCUUUGUCCACACUUUCCAGAAUUCCGAUGGAUUUGUCCUAUUUAAGGCCCUAUCAUUCCACGGUAAGGGCGUUCGAUUGGACAAGGCGUGAGGUCAUGGGAAAGAUUGAGAUCCUUCUAGAAGUGGGCCCUUAUAUAUACGAUGUUGAAUUUCAAGUCAUGGACAUUACACCAUCAUACAAUUGCCUCUUAGGAAGACCUUAGAUCCAUUCUGCCGGAGCAGUUCCGUCAUCCCUCUAUCAAAAGGUGAAAUUUAUCAUGGAUGACUGUUUGGUCACUGUCGAGGGAGAAGAAGACAUUGUAGCAUCUAUUUCUGCCGACGCACCAUACAUUGAAGUGAGUAAAUAUGCUAUGGAAUGUUCUUUCUGAUCUCUUGAAUUUGUUAAUGCCACAUUCGUCGCUGAGAGAAACAGAAUUCCCGUACCGAAACUAUCAAGAAAUACCAGGAUGGGUAUCAAGCUAACCGUGGGGAGAGGAGCCCGAGUGAGGAAAUGUUUGGGAAAAUUUCAGCAAGGAAUAGUCAGGGCUCUAAAGCCAGUACACCACAGGGCCCGAUACGGUUUGGGGUUCCAGCUAGACAUACGUCAAAGAAGAAAACAAUGGAAGAGAGAUCAGGAAAGAAGGAUCGUAAGAACCUUAGGCCGAGAAAUAGAAUGGGAGCCCAUGACGUACUCUCAUUUGUUAAAAACAUUUACAUCUACAGGAAUGAUAUACCCCGAGUAAGACAAUCCACGAAGCACACUGUUAAACAUUGAAAGGGGUCUUCAGAAUGUCAGUAUAAAUGUCAUUGACAAAGGAAGUGAUGCAAUUAAGGAUGUUUCAACGAUAUGCCCUUGUCCUCCUGGAUUUGUUUUAAACAAUUAGACUGCUGUAGAGCUUCUUGUAGUUUCUAAAUCUUCUCCAGAGUAAUGCUCAAUAUAAACACUAUUCUUUUUGUGGCCUUUCAUUAUGUCUUUGCUCUAUUUUCGUUACACGACAACGAGCAAAGAGGGGCAACUGUUACAGGCCAAUUUUGGGCCCUUUACAAGAUACCUGAAGCCCACUAACCAUUACUCACUUAUAUCAAACCUACUUGCAUUUACAACAUUAACCCAUUAAUCUCAAAACAACCUACCAAGCUAACCCCAAACCCAAUUACAACCCUUACCUACUAACCUUACAAAACUAUUACCCAUCAAUACCCUCAACCCAAUACAAACUUAUCAGACCCACUGAAACCCCUAAAACCCACUAACCCAUCAAACCCAACAAAUUACACAGCCCAUACAUUUAAACCCCAACCCGUUAGCCCAACCAGACCUAAGCCCAAGUUAGAAAACAGAAACCCUAGCCGAACCUACCCCCCACUUGCCCACUUGCACCGCAACCACUAACACCACCGGCCAACCACCCUCUGACUCACCUGCUCCACCGUUUGCCCAUCCCCUGCAAGGACAAAACAGAAGACAUGACAAGCAGUAAAAAAGGAUGUAAAAGGGUUAUAAAACCCGAUUCAAAAACAUUGUAGAUGGUUCGGCAGUUUUGAAAACACAAAGAAAUAAGAAAAUUAUUUUAAAUCUAGAAUCAAAAUGGCAGUCUAUUGAGCAUUUAGAUUCAAUAACAACGUUCAAAGAAAAUGAAAUAUCAAAGAUCAACAAAUCAGAAGCUAAAAGACCAAAAUGUGAUUUUUUUUAUAUUUCUAUUUCGUUUUAAAACCUAUUUUAAUCACCUAUACAUAUUAAAAUACAAUAAAAUAAUAAGAUAAACAAGCGAAAUAAACAAAUAGAAAAAAUUUGAAAAUUUACCUCUCCGGCCACCGUGUACGGUGGCUGGCGCCGGCGCCGACGACGGUCCGGCGACUGGACCGGUGACUGGCCCAUGGCCGGAUUUCGCCCCCUCCCCUCUCUCCCUCUUUUUUUUUCCUUCCUACCAGCACAACUGAUUUAUUUUUUAGGAUUUGGGCUUUUUAUAGCCCUCCAAAACGACGUUGUUUUGGGGGCUGCCUUUUAACCCCAAAACGACGUCGUUUUGAGCAUGACCCGAACCGUCCGACGUGUUUUUGAUUGAAUGGGAUAUUAUGUGUGUGGUCCUUCCGUUUUUUAGGCGUUUUACAAUUCAGUUUCUAUUUAUUUAUAAAUUGGCCCUGAAAUUUGUUAUGAUUCUCAAAUUGAUCCUCUAUGAUGCGCAUCGUUUUAAAGGCUUUGGAAAAUUGUUCUUUUGGCCCCCUCACCGUUUUAUGCGCAUUCAAAUGAGUCCUUUCCUCUUUGCUUUCCUUUAAAAUUAGCCCCAAACUUUGUUUUUUAAUUCGAUUUAGUCCUCUUUGUUAUAUUACUGCUUUAUUUUUAAAUUAUUUUUUUUCAUUUUCUGUUAUUUAUUAUUAUUAAUUAUAAUCUUUAUAUUUUCAUUAUAUUUACUAUAUUUUAUGUAUGUAGUGGUGUAUAUUGUAUUAUGUACAUAUAUGUGUAUAUAGUUAGUAUAUUUAUAUAUUUAUGAAACAUUAUUAUUAGUUCUUUUUAAAAUGUAUAUUAUGUAAAUAUUUUAAUAUUGUAUUAUAUAUAUAUAUUUCUCAUAUAUUAAAAACAUAUGAUCUCAAUAUAAUUAUGUGCAUUUUAGUGUAUACCUAUAUAUUUUUGAAAUAUUGUCAAUAGUUUUUAUUAUUUUUUUAAUACGUAUAUAUUAUGUAUAUUUACUAACAUUAUAUUUUUUAUGCAUAUAUUUCAAAUAAUAUAUAUUAAGUAUUUCUUACGUCAUUAUUAUAUAUGUACGUAUUUAUGUAUCGUACGAGCAUUUUAUCACUUCUAAUAUGUAUAUCGUAUGUAUUUAUAUAUCAUGUAUUUUUCUUAUUUAUUUAAUAUUUUUACUAUUAGUUGCAUAUUUUGAUGUUACUUCAUGUAUAUAUUUUUAAUAACUAUCAUGUACAUUUUUAAUGCCAUAUAUAUAUUGUAUAUUUUUCAAUAACUAUAUUAUAUGCAUAUACUAUGUAAAUAUCUUAAUGCAAUAUUUUGUAUAUACCACUACUCUGCGUCUAUUUAUGUUGCAUUGUUAAUGGUUUUCUUUUACUAUUAUUAUCCCUAAUAUAUGUAUGCAUUUUCUAAUACUUUAUCAUAUAUAUAUGUAUAUGUAUUUUUGUUGUAUUAUGUAUGUAUAUAUAUAGUAUUAUCUUAAUUACUUUAUUUUAAUAUUGUUAUUAUAUUAUAUUUGUUUUUUAUAUAUAUUAUAUCAUCAUUUUAAUAUUACUGUUAUAUAAUAUUAGUGUAUAUUUUUAUUAUAUAUGUAUACAUAUAUAUAUUUGCACAUAGUAUCACUUUCAACUUUAUUGUAAUAUAUUUAUAUAUUAUGGUUAUGUAUGUGAAUUUAAUAUACUUAUGUAUCAUAUUACAUAUAUCUUUUAUACACGUUAUGUAUGCUUUCAAUACAAUACUUAUAUAUAUUGUUACGUAUAUAAUCUUAAUGUCAUUUUUUACAUAUGUAUAUUCGUUGUGUUCUCGUGUUUGAUAAUAUAAUUACAUUUAAUCUUGCAUGCAUUUGUUAGUGUUUUUAAUAUUAUUGUCAUAUCUGUUACUUGCUUCAAUAUAUUUCUAGUUUUUCCAUUUAUUUCAUUUCAAUUUGUUUUACAUUACUUCGAAAAUCUCAUUCGUAUUUUCUAACUAAUUUCAAUAAUCAAGGCAAUGUACCGAUUUAACAUUAAGUCAUCGAAUUUCAUCGCUCUGUUGGAUGGAAUUUGUCGGCUCGUGUUAAAGACGGAACACCCUUCUAAAAAACCAAAAACUAAAAUUUCUCGUCUUUCCAAUUGGAUCACGACUAAAUGUUACAUUAAACUCAUAUUUUUGAAAAUCAAGACAACACAUGUUUAUAAGAUACCAAUUUUGGGCAUCGCGAGGGUGCUAGUACCUUCCUCGCGCGUAGCCGACUCCCGAACCCUAAUUUUUCUCUGGAUUUUCACGUAGACCUAAAUUUGGCCUUCAUUUUUUUAAAGUAAAUGUCUUUUAAAAAAAAGAUUAUUUAUUAGGUGUCCGAUCACACUUAGGAAAAAGGAUCGGUGGCGACUCCCCUUUUUUUAUUUAUUUCAAAUCAAACUUCAGUUUUCAAGUUUUCACUAAAUCGCCACAAUUAGCGACCAAGUUAAAAAUUUUCACGUCUGUACAUGCAUCAUUUUCAUCCUUGGUAGCAACAUCUUCAUUUCCCUUCCAACCAUACCAUCAACCACCUCCACCAUAAGCUUCUUAGAAUUAUUUUUGUAAUAUAACUAUACUACUUUUUUAUAUGUAAAACUAAUGUAUGAUAUUUUUUAUGUUUGGUAUUUUUAUGCUAUGCUUUUAUUCAAGUUUCUGUGUUGUAUAGAAUGUCACAAAAUAUUAAUUAUUUUUAUUUGAUUACUUUUUCAGGUUAUGGAUGAAUUUAAUAAUAUGUAUAAUUGUUUUUAUAUGAAUUAUGAUACCCCUGAAUUAAGUGAAGAAGCUCAACGAAGAAUAGCCACAAUUGUUAACCAAGUUGAGAACAACAAUUAUCAUGAAGAGGAAGAAUAUGUGUUAAGCAGUGUAUUGGUAUAUCAUGAAACUGAUUUCACUAUGCAACUGCGUAUGGAUUCAAAUUAUAUAGGUCAAAUGUGGGUGGACGAAGUAUUAAAUGGGCAUGAUGAUCGUUGCAUAAAUAGUUUUAGGAUGCCAAAAAAUGUAUUUCACAGCUUCAUGAUUUGCAAACAAAUUAUGGCUUAAAGCAUGGGAAAGUAUCGGCGAUGGAGAAAUUAUCAUUAUCAUUGUAUAUUCUUGGAAAUAGAGAAUCAAAUUCAAAUGCAACAGAGAGAUUUCAACGAUCUGGGGAAACUAUUAGUCGAAUUUUUACUGAUAUAUUAUAUAUAUUUGCUCGAAUGGGAAUAGACACGAUUUAACCCACUGAAGGUUAAUUCGAGGAAGUACCGAACCAUAUUCGACAUGAUACAAGAUAUUGGCUUCACUUUAAGGUAAAAUUUACACAAUCUUUAUAUAUUUAAAAUAUAAAUUAUUUCUAACUUUUAUCUCAUUACUUGUAUUUAUUUUAAAGGAUUGUAUUGGGGCCGUAGAUGGAACAUACAUAAAAGCAUGCAUUUUGCCUUUUUGUCAAAUACCUUAUAUCGGACGGAAAGGUGAACCAACUCAAAAUAUUAUGGCAGUUUGUGACUUCAACAUGUGCUUUAUUUUUGCAUUUCCUGGUUGGGAAGGAACAACACAUGAUAGUAGAAUUUUUUUGCCAGCACUUAGAAAACAAGAGUUAAAGUUUCCACACCCUCCACCAAGUUAAACUUUAAUUUUUUAAUUAAUCUUUACAUAAAAAAAUAUUAAAAUUUUUAAUUUAUUUUUAAACUUGAUAUUAUGUUUUACUUUUUUGUAAGAAAAUAUUAUCUUGUGGAUUUAGGAUAUCCACAAAUGGCAGGUUUUCUAGGUCCAUAUAGGGGGGAACGAUAUUAUUUACCUGAUUUUCAUCAAGGUAAUCAUUAAGUAUCUGGAAAAAAAAAUCUUUAAUCAUGCCCAUUCUUCAUUACGCUCUGUGAUUGAACGAACAUUUGGAGUGUGGAAAAAAAUGGCCAAUAUUAAGAGAUAUUCCAAGUUAUUCAUUCAACAAGCAAGUUUGAAUAGUUAUUGCAACAAUGGUUUUCCAUAAUUACAUUCGAAGACAUGCUUGGUCAAAUGAUGAGGAUUUUCGAGAAUUUGAGAAUAUUCCAGACAUACUAGUCUUUUCAGGCCAUUUUGAUAGAGGUGAAUCGAGUUCUUCUAACAGUGAAAGUGACCUUAAAAUCGCGAUGUUAAGGGAAACCAUUGCAACUAGUUUAAUGAAUCCAUAUUUGUAAUAAUAUUUUGUAUCAUAACCUAAUUUCUAGUAAUAAUGAAACUUGUUAUGUCUUAUGUUACUAUAUUUUUUUAAUUAAAAAUCAUCCGUUUAAAUAUUUCAAAAUUUGAUCCAAGUAUAAUGUUACUAUUUGUGAAAAUAAUAUUUAUCAUUGUUAUAAAAGAAUAUUUAACUAUAAAAAAUUAAAAUUAAAAAUAAUUAUCAUUUUAUCUAAUUCAUUAAAAUAUUUAUAAUAAAAUAUUGGAAGAUACAUUUCAAUAUUUUAUUAAAUGAAUUUAUAAAUUCACAUAUUUUAAUAAUUUUAAAAAAGUAAAAUAAUUUAAAAAAACUUCUAUUAUAUAUCACUACCACCGCUGUUUUUAACCUCACCGGAGGUAAACACACUGUCCAUCCAAACUAAGCCUAAGAUGAUUUAGAAGUGGGGAAUGGGUUUUCCUCUAAAAAUGGUUUUGUCGUUGUAGUGAAGUGAUACAACAUAAAGAAUGGGGUAAACUUCCACGUUGUUAAAUCUCGACUUGACAAAUUCGAGGCUAAAUGCGAGACAAUAAAUGUGCAUGGAAAAUCAUGGCUUCUGUUACAAAGAAGAUGAGUUUGUAGACUAUAAAGAAAUAUAUCGCUCCAGCAUACGUGAUGAGUCGUUGAGAGCACAAAAAAUAUUCUAUCCCUAUAAAAUAAUGAAAAAAAUAGUAUAAGGGAAGUGGAGUCAAAUCCUCAGGGAUUGGAUUUGCACAAGUUCUUGUUCCUAGAAAUCCCGGACAGAGUCGUGCCUAAGACAACCUACGUACCUGGGAAAAAAAUAAAAAAAUAGAAUUUAAAGUUUGAUUGAAUUGAAAUUACAAAAAUUAAAAUUAAAAUUGUAACGAAAGACAGAGUUGAGUAAGAGAGUUUUUAUUAUGGAGAGAUUCCAGCCUCUGGUUGCCUCGAUCUGCCUUAGGUUCAAUCCUCGGGUUUUAGGUAAUCCUUCUCAAAUAGAAUAAGCCAGUUCUAGUGGAAAAGGACGCAUAUGACCACCAGCUCCAAGAUUUUAGACUUACGAUUUAGAGGAACCUGACUCUAGCCAACAAUUGCUUUUGUGGGACCAUCUUGUGCUAGAUCAUCACUUCUCAAUGGCAAAUGCCACGCCAUUUUGUCUCUUGAGCUUGCCAACCUCUGACGCAAUAAGCUAAUGAAUCGACUGUGCAACCUUCCCAAAACAUACAAAGCGGAUGCCUUUGCAUAAGAUGAAAAGAUCACCUUUGAAAAGACAUGGACGGAAGCGUCAGUCCCGUAGUGUGGAGAAGCGAUAAAUACUCAUUGAGAAGGCUAAGUGCGGAUUCUAAACCUCAUGAACCCUUUUUUAGGAUUUUCGUCAACCUUUGGUGAGAUAAAUUUAGUGAUUCAUGAUUUUUGGGGAAAAAAGAAAUAAAUGUAAUAAAAUUGAAAUUUUAUUGAGUAAAGAAAAGAAUAAAGGCUAGAGCUUUUUGGGAGAGGGACUGUUUACAGAAAAAGAUUAGUGAAAUUUGUGUUACUCUAUCCCCUAUUUAUAGUACUAGGAAACCUAGUCUAUUCCUAAUUAAAUUCUAAAAGAUAAAUACAAAUAAAUAAAGAUAAAUAAAGAUUAAAGCUAGGAUAAAUAAAGAUAAAAACGAAAAUUAAAUCUAAAUAAUAAUCCUUAAUAAUUAUCCUAACAUAAUUGGAAUUUAAAUAGAGUAUUGUGCAAUAAAAUCUCUUCUUUGCACUUUUGCCCCAAAUAUUCCACAAUUUGUAUUUUUGGCAUCACUUCUUGUAUGCUGGCCAGUUUUAUCUUUAAAUUCACGCUUUUAACCCCCAAAUUUUUUUUACCUUCAAUUUAGUUCCUAUAAGAUAAAAAGCAAUAAAUAGUUUAAAUUAGUAAGAUCAUACUCACAAAUAAACAUAUAAUUAAUACAUAAAAAUAUGUCAUUCUAGAGUAUUAUCAAUAUGUGUGUUGUUGCGGGUAAUGCAUCAAAACUAUCUUAUAUUUGGGGUAUUAAAUUCCUAAUUUUAACGUACUCGUGUUGUUACAGGUAUUUCACAGGGUCAUCUACAAUUGGAUUUAGAUAUGAUCACGAACAUAAUACUACUUAUGGCGAAAACGAGUCCAACAAUUGCUAUGACAGUUUUAAUUGCAAAAAUCCGUAGCCAAUACAAUUACACACUGUCGUAUUGCAAGGUGUGGAUUGCAACGCAAAAAACAUUGGAAAAGAUGCAUAAUGGGUAGGACGCAUCGUACAAUGGUUUUCGGUAGUGGUGUCAGGUACUUGAGAUGUACGUUUCAGGUUGCAUUAUUGAUCUGGAAAUGAUGCCUACGUACUACAACGAUCGGUUGGUCCAUAGAUGCUGAGUGUUCUGUCGUUUCUUCUGGACUUUCAAGCAAUAUCGACAGGCAUUCUAGUAUUGUAAGCCACUGGUACAAAUUGACGACACCUUUAUGUAUGGGAUAUAUACGCAUCGGUUGUUGUUGGCUGUGGCAAAUGUGAAAAUCGAAAAAUCCUACCAAUUGUCUUUGUAAUAAUGCCAAGAAAAAAAUAGAUAAUUGAGAUUUUUUCUUGUCUAGGUUAAGGAGACAUAUUUUCCCCUAACCCGAUAAAUGUGUCAUUUUCGACAGGGGACCUGGAAUAUUAGCUGCAAUUGAACGAUAGGGGAUCCUUUGGGACCAUACACACCAUAGGUAUUAUUUAAGACAUGUUGCGGUGAACUACCAUGGGCAGCAUGAAUCUGAAGCACAGUGCACACUAGUGAUUAACAUAGGUAUGUAUUCGCCACUAUUUCAAUUGUCUAAUAUUUAACCGGUCAAAAAAUGUUGGGAUUAAUGGAUAAACUAUUCAUUUUUCUUGAUAAGGUACAAGCUUGUCAAACAUCGUUUCCAUGAAAUGAUGGAAAACUUGUGGGUCAUUAGCGAGGAAGGUGCAAACUACCUCUCUAACACACCCUUUGACCAGUUGACACAAUCGUAUAAUGGGGGUCUAAGAUAUAGGCACAUGAUGACAAACCUGACGGAAUGCAUCAAUUUUGUAUUAAAGGGGACGCGUCAUUUAUCGAUAACCUCAGUUGUGAAAUAAACAUAUUUUCAUUUAGCAACACAAUUUCCAAAGCAAGCGGAAAAAUAUGUUGAACAGAUAAGGGUGACCACAUUUGGUGUAAAGAGAGAUGAAGGAAGGCUACAACACGAGUCAACUGCAUGCAUCCAGUGUGUUAUUCGCUCGAAGACUUAUCAUUUCAGGUUACGAAGUUCGAUAGACCCUGUCGAAAUCCUUUUUUUGAAAUCGACUUUUUGUUUUAAAAAAACAAAAAUGGGAGUUGCCAUCAAUCCUUUUUUUGAUCGGAUCACCUCAUACUUUAAUCUUUUUAAUAAAAGAUUUGAUUUAUUAAAACAAUAUUUUUCGGUCUACAAAAAUUCGAAAAAGGUUUCGGUAGUCAGUUACGUACGAGGAAGGAUUAGCACUCUCGUAACACCCAAAAUUGGUACCUAAUUAAUUAAUUAAUGUCUUAAUGUCGAAAGUUGAAAAUUCAAAAAGAAUUUAAAAUACGAUCCAUCUUUGUAUUAAUGUUAUUUUCACUUUAAAAAUUUCUUGAAUAAAUCAAAACGUACGUUAAACACCCUCUCAUCUCGAGAUAACAAAAUGUCACAUCCCGUAAGUUAAGACACGACACCUUGAACCCUUGAGAAUAAGCUUGCCUUUUAUUUUUUUAAUCUCAUGUAUUUUAAUUUUAAAAGGGUAUUCAGUCAUUUAGGUUCAACGAGACAAAUCGAAACCCCGUAAGUUAGGGUACGAUUCUCGAAUCUCCAAGUACGGAGUAUUGCCUUAUUUUGAAGAUUUUUGAAUAAUAACAAGUGUAAUAUUUAAACGAUAUGUAUUUAAAACGAUAAAGUAACUUAAAACAAAUAUGAAAAUGGGAAAUGCAUGUUUAAAAAGGAUAAAUAAAAUAACAUGAAAUGUAACACCCACUUACCCGAGACCGUCGCCGGAGUCGAGCAUGAGACAUUACUAAACUUAUUUUAGCACUUAAACAAUUCUCGUAGUAAACUAUCCAUCUGCAUCACGGUCGCUAAAAAAUCAUAUCUCGAGUUACAAAACUCAAAAUCCAAUUCCGUAAAUCUUCCCUAAAACUACACUCAUAUAAUUUUUGGUCAGGCCAAUUAGUACAGUUUAUUAGUAAAAAUCUCCCCUGUUUCAGGGUUCGGCUACUCUGACCCCUGUGCACUAAGAAUCAAAUUUAUUUCCUAUACAGAAGUCCAAUGACUAUGCCAUUUAUUUCAGUUAAAAAUAGACUCAAUAAGUAAUCCAUACAUAUAAAGUAUGAGUUCUAAUUAUUUAUACACAAUUUAUGGUGAAUUUAUAAAGGCAGAACAGGGAAUCUAGAAAUUACUCUAACCCUGUUUCACCAAAACAUAAAUAUCUCAUAAAAUACAACUCUUUUACCUAUUUUGUUUCUUCCAUAUAAAAAUAGAUUCAUUACGCUUCAAUUACAUAUUUUAUUCAUCAUAAAAUUCACUUUCUACUAUUUUUGGUGUAUUUUCAAAGUUGGACUACUGCUACUGUCCAAAUCUGUUUUAGUAUAAAAUGUUGAUAACUAAGUUUAUAACAUCUUCAUUUCUUCUCUCUACAAUAUUUACCAUCACUUCCUCUUAUUUCUCUUCACUAACAUAUCAAAAACAUACCAUACUUAAGGUUUUGGUAACAUUUACAAAACAUACCAAAAUAUUACUUAACAACUUAGGUACUUUCAAAAUGACCAAAAGACAUCCUAGGUACAAUGCCAUUUUCCAAAAAGAUAGAAACUUCACCAAUUUGAGUUCGGGGAUCGGCUUGUAUGCUAAGUCCUUAUACUUUCGUACCUAGCCUACGCACGGAAACAAACCGUACGCUGAGAAUACUCUCAGUGGUAUUUCUAUAAACAAUAGCUUAAUCAACUUUAAAACAUGGUAAUUCAAACACAUUUCAAUAACAGUCAAUCAAUUAGUACUUUAAUAAUCUUUAUUUUAUUUACCCUUAUUAACAUAACUCGGACACUGACGGAUACAUGGAUCCAACUCACACUCCGGGAUAAGCACAUAGUGCUUCAUCGGAACAAAUCCGGAACUUUAACAGUAGUCGACACAGUGUCUCAACAACUUAAUGUCGGAAUAUUCCAAUACUUCCAAUUCCUAUGACAUGUCAACUAUAUCCGGCUAGCCCGACACUGUUAAUAGGGUAUUCAAAAUCACAUUCAUUUCAAUAUGGUAAGAAUACUUACCUCAUUUACAUUUUCACACAAUAUAAUUAUCAAAUAUAGCAAUAACGAUUAAGCUCGGUUUAUAGAAAUACAAACCACUAUUUAUCGAAUUUAAUCGAUAUCUUCGUUCACUUUCUCUUUUCCCUUCUUUGAUGACGUAUCCGGUGCUACGUUAGCUACAAACAACCAUACAAUUAAAAAUCAUCAAUAUACUAAUUCAUUAAACACAUUUUCACUUUCUAUCAAACUUUUACAAAAAUUCUAAUUUCGUCCUUUUCCCAUUACUAAUCUUUUUUUUAACUAAAUCAUCAUAUUUUUAUUUAAUCAACUCAUUAACAAUUUCAAGCUCAUAAAAAAAAUCAUCAUAAAACAUAAAUUUUGAGCUCUAUACAACUUAGUCCCUAGUUAAACCUAACUUAAAAAUUCCUUUAACAAAUCACUUCUAACUUAAAAUUCUACCAUUUUAACCCAUAAUCCUCAAUUUAAUCAACUUAAUAAACAUCUAAAAAUUCACUAUUUUUCUUCAUUUUAACCUCAUACAUGUAGAACUUUGAAUUAGGCAUCCAUAAACAUAAAAAUCACAAAAAAAAUGAGCUAAAACAACUUACCAAUCAAGCUUUAGGGCCUUAAUCCUCAAAUUUUCCCUUUUCUUUUUCUUUCUUUCUUUCUCACGUUUACUCUCUGUAACUCUUUCUAUCUUUCUUUCUUUUUUUUUCCUUUAUUCAUAAAUCUAUAUUCAAUAUAAUAAUAUUAAUAAUAUAAUAUUAUUCUAAUAAAAUAACUUAAUCUAUAAGAAAAACUACUUUAACACAUUUAAUAUUUUUACUAACUAUUACACAUGUCAUACAAUAUUAACACACACAUGUCACUUAGGGUCUAAUUGCUAGAUUAGUCCCUUUACUAAUCUUUAAUCUAUAAUUAAACUUUUAUACCUUAUGCAAUUUAGUCCUUAUUCUAAAUUCAAGCUACUUAACUUAAUAAAACAUUAAUCAACCACUCAACUAUAAUUCAUAAAUAUUUCUAAUAAAAUAUUCAUGAAUUAAUUUCACGGAAACAGUACUCAAGACUCGAUUUCCGAUACCGUAACUUUCGGUUCAUUACGUGAAAAUAUUAACAAUAAUAAUAAAAUAAUAAAAUAACAAGUGCACAAGACAAAAAAAUAAAAUCAACAAUAAAUAACAAAUGCACAAAUAAAAAAAGGUAUAAACACUUCGAUUUUUAAGAGAAAAAAAAGUAAAUAAAGAAAUAAUAAAUAAAUAAAUAAAAUAGUUUGUAAGAAAAAAAUUUGAAGUUCAAUAAACCAAGGAUCGAAUUGAAAUCAAAAUAAAAAUGAGGGGUAUAAAUUGUAAAUAAAAAAUAAUUAAAAAAAGAGUAAAUGAUUAAAAUGAAGCAAGUGAAAAGAAAUAGGGACUAAAAGGGAAAUUAUCCCAAACCCUUGGGACACAUGUCAUUCCCGGGAAGGCCAGACGAAUGAGGACUAAAUUGAAACAAGCAAAAAAUUAAACAAUAUAAUUUUUGAAGGAAAAAAAAGAAUUGGGAUCUAAAUAAAAUAACUAAGAAGGCAGAAGGACCGUAAGCGUGAAUAUCCCUUCUUAAAAAAACACACGGAUCCUAGGUCGGGUGGUCGGGUUGGAUUGGGUCGGCCUCCCAAACAAUGUCGUUUUGGGGUCUAAGGUUUCAGGCCAAAACGACGUCGUUUUAGCCCUCUAUUUAAGUAAAAAUAACUUCAAAAAAAAUUCAUUUUAACAGCUUUCAGAAAGAAAAAAAAACCAAAAUCCCUCUUUUUUCUUUGAAAUGACCUAAGGUUCGGCCAUCGGCGCCGCCGAGGCGGUCCACAGUGGCAGCGGUCGUCCAUGGUGGCCAAAAAACUCAAAAUUUCCCUCUAUUUUUUUCGGUCUCUCGAACCCAGAUCUAGCGAUCACCGACCAAAAAAAAGGUAAAAAGCUUCUAACUUUCUUCUCUUUAUAUUCAGUUAGUAUAUAUAUUUAUAUUUAUAUUUAUAUUCAAAAAAGAAAAAAUCACCUCUUGUUGUUGAUUUCUUGUAUUUUUUUCUUUUUCUUCUUUUUUUUCCCAAAAAAAAAAGUCCUCUCCAAUACAUUUAGAUUUGACUUUUAUAGCCGAUUUCUGCAUAUUUUUUAAUACUUGUCUACUGUUUUAAUCUUUGUAGGAGCAGUUAGUGGAGCAGGUGGAGGAGUGGCAGUGGCAGAGGCUAGAGAUUUAGGGUGUGAUAGCUAGGGUUUCUGUUCUUUUUUUUUUAAACAGUUUAGGUUUUGGGCUUGUUGGGCUGUUGGGGGUUUGUAAUUUUGGGCCUGCAAUUUAGGCUAGUAUUGUUACCGGACUGGACUUUUAAUAUUUUGGAAUUUUUAUUUAUUUUUUGUUUGGUUUUUUGUUUGGGUUCGGACUCGUAUAAAAUUGGCCCAUAAUAGACCCAACUAAGGAAUUGUCGAGAAAGCAUACAAAAAUUGCUUAUUUUUCGAGAUCCCACUAUAAAUUCUAUCUAUAUAUUCUGAUCGCCAACUUAUACAUACUAGAUCCAGUUGCAUUUUAUUCGAAUUGAGAGAAUAACCAAAAAAAUUCGACUUUACUUUUUUGUUUCCGGAGUAACUCUCAUCAACUAGUACUAUUUUGAUAUGAACUUUUUGAAGGAAUUCAUCAAAUUUCUUAGAUCUAAAAUCAUCCUCUUUAUAUGAUAGCCUAUACGGAUCUACUAGAUAUAUAGACUUUAAUUUCAUACAUUCGUUCGGUACCGAUCCGCUUGCUAUAAUUCAUUUAACCCUAUACCAUAUACACUUGAAAACUAAACCUACGACUGUGGGAGAUUUGACACACUUCGUUUUCCAUGUGCUCUUGCAAUUAUAGUAUGUUCUUCCAUUUGUUUGGAUAACAUGAGCUUGGUUGACGAAAUGUACAAACUACAACACAUGUAUAACAUUCGAAGAUAUGAAUUCCCAUCGGUCCCAGAUGAACAUAUUAACCAUUGGUAUCGAGUGCUCCAUUCAAGUUGUUACCCAAUAGUUCAUUGAGCCGCAAAUCAAAAGGUCGAUUGGAAUCUACUCAGAUACACGACAACAUGGAUAUUCGAGAGAAGACAAACCAUUCGAGGUCAUGCGGGUUUUGUAGGAACCUAGGGCAUACAAUAUUGUUAUGUUUACACCAAGAUACUACAAGGACAACACCUUAUUAACUUAUUUAUUAAGUUUUUAACUAAAAUCCAUUUGUUGAUUCUUUCAUUCAUACUUAAAUUUUUUGUAAUUUGUAAAUAUAAGUUUUUAAUAUAAAACUUUGUUCCAUUUUUCUAGUGCAAACCGAAUUUAAUUUGGUUUAACAAUAUAAAAUGACAACGAAUAUCAAUUUUGAUUCAAAAACAUUAUUUAUUUAAAAACAUUUUAUAUCCAAUAUCGGUACAAUCUUAUCGACUGCAACUUAGCUAAACAAUUAAGAUUUACAUGAGAAGUAAAAAAAAAUCAUAUCAUCGACCAGAAUGUGUGCCAUAAUGGGGUGGUCGUCAAUUGCAAGAUAGAUUUCUUUUCGUUUAAGUUGUAUAUCGACCUCAUCGUCUUUAUUGUUACAUCUGCCUUCGGGUAUAGGUUGUGGUCUCGGCCUUUAAUCUUUUUCGCCUUCAUUCAUGGUUGAUUGCAAUGUGCUAAUUCGUUGUUAUAGGAAUAGGCAAUUGCAAAGAUAGUCCACAUUGUCAGAACAAUGAUCCCGGAGGUGUUUACAACACCAUCGUCGUAGGCGUAUCACCAUAUUAUGUCUCAUAUGCCGAUGAUAAAAUAACUAGACUUCCAAUCGAUGCCCCAAACAUAGAGGACCUAUAUGCCAUCGUCAUCUGAAACGACGAUGGCAUCAGCAUGUAAUAUGCUAGGGAUGGAGGUGGCAGUCUGAAAAUAAUACCUAGAGUCGAUGUAGAAAUAGAAAAAUGUGGUUCAAGAUGUGGUGGUUGUGUAAAAAUAACGGUGUUAGUGAAAGCACCAGAAUAAGUCAAGCCGUACUGAUCGGAGGUUGGUUGUAAUGACCUAAGAUUCACGGGCACCAAAAAAGUAAAGUAUCGAGCCUCCGUCUUAAUAAACCGGGUUUGUAAAUAAUUAUUAGGAGUAAUUAUGAGCCUAGUAGUGUGUUUCAUUAAGUUUUAAUUAGGUGAAUUUAGCUUAAAUUAGAAUAAUUAGCAAAAAGAACUAAAUUGAAUAAAGGGUAAAAGUUUAUUAUAGAUUAAAAGAAAGUAUAAAGGGCCAAAAAAAGGAAUUAAGCCAAAUUACUAUAAAUAAGGCGGCAAACUUAGAUAAAAUCUAAUAUUUUUAUUAGAUUUUUAUAUGUUUAAUGUUUUAAAUUAAUUUAUAAAUUAUAUUAAUUAUUAUUAUAUUAUGAAAUAAGUUAAAUAAAGAUAAAUGUAUGGUAGUGAUUUAAUACAAGUGUAUUAAUAGAAAUAUAUACAUUUGUUAUAUUUUUUUAUUUAAUUAGUAAAAGUUUUAUUAGAUAAAAUAAUUAAAUUGUAAGAUUUUUGUGUAAUGAAUAAAAUAGAUAGUAACACUUGUAAUAAUGUGAAUAUAUACAUUUGUAUUAUAUUUAUUUAUUUACUUUAAAAUUAAGUGAAAGAUAAUUACUAAUUAAAUAAUUAUAGUAGGAGAUUUUUAUUAGUAAAUAAAUUAAAAGUAUAACAAUUGUAUGGUAUUGAUGGUGUACAAAUGUAGUAAAAAUAUAUAUAUGUGUGUGUAUGUAUAUGAUUAAUUAUAUAAAAUAUAUUUAAUGUUAUUAUAAUAUAAUAUAAUAAGUUAAUUAAUACAAUAAAAGAAUAAAUAUAUAUAUUAAACAUAAAAAAAAAGAAACAAAGAAGGAAAGAACAGAAUAGCAAACAAAAAAGAAAGAAAGAAAAGAGAAAAAGAAAAGAAAAAGGAAAAACUAGGGAUUUGAAGCUUUAAGUUUUGAAAAGGUAAGUCAAUUAAGUUCUUUUUACUUAAUUUUGAUUUUUUUGAAUUUUUAAAAUAAGGUUUUGAUAAAAUUAAGUUAAUAUUUUGGAAGUUCAUAGGUUUUCAAAUAUAGUUCAUGUUGAACAAAAAUAUGAAUUAGGGGUUUAAUUGAAUGAAUUUCAAGUUAAAAGUGAUAAAGGGAUUAAAUUGUAAAAAAAACUAUAAGUUUUGUGAUAAAGGGAUUAAAUUGAAAGAAAUUUAGAUUAGGGUUUUAUUGUGAAAAUUGAAUAGUUGAGUUGAAUAUAGCAAGAAAUUAAAUAGAAAAGAAGUAUGAAUUGAGUUAGAAAAGUAAGUGAAUUUAGUUAGGAUUAAAUUGGGAAUAAGUAUGAAUUGAUUAAAAAUUAAAUUAUCUGUCAUAAUUUAAUGCUGUAAUUGAUAGUGAAAAUUAUUAUUAUUUUCGUAGCUAACAAGGAACCCGAGGCAUCGGCAUCGAAAGGAAAGGACAAAGUUGUCGAGGAGUAACCGAAUAAAUUCAGGUUUGUAUUACUAUAAUUCAAAUUAUUUAUUAUUAAAUGUUAAAUUUUAAUUUAUGUGUAUGGUAAAUGAAAUAUGAGGUAAAUAUUAUUAUUAUUAUUAUUAUUGAGAUGAGUGGGAAUUAAAUUGAAUAGUUGAUAUGAAUUGGUAUUUGAAUUGUAUAUUGAUUGAAAGCGAGAGUGAAUUUGAAUCAAAUUGUGACUGAUAUUAAAUUGAAUGAAAAUGUAUUGAGUUGUGAAAAUGUGUGAAUUUGUGAAUUGAAUAUUGGUUGAAAGGUGGAAAAUAAUUGAAUUGAAAAUGUGAGAAAUUGUGAUUGAAUUGAGGUAUAUAUGUGAUUUGAAUACCCUAUUAACUACUCAGACUAGGUCGGAUAUAGGUGGCAUGCCAUAGGAUUGGAAGAGUUCAGAGAUGCUUCGACCUCGAGUCGAUGAGACACUAGGUGUCACUAUAUUACUUCGGAUAGAUUCGAUGAGGUACUGGGUACCAACUUACUUCGGCUUGGCCGAUGAGACAUUGGGUGUCAAUUAUUAGCUUCGAACUAUCCGAUGAGGCACUGGGUGCCAUACUGAAGUGUUUGGUUGGAUCCAUGUAUAAGCUAAAGUUUGAGUCUGUUAAUAGGGGUAAUUAAAAGAAAUGUUAAACUGAAUAAACUGAAUUGAUUGAGCCAUUGAAAGAAAUGUGAAAAUGGAACGUGAAAUAAAAAAAAAGUUAUAUGAUUUAACGAUAUGAUUAUUAUGUUUAUAGUUUGAAUUAUGGUAAUACCACUGAGUAUAAAAUACUCAGUGUACGGUUAUUUUCGUGCGUAGGUUAAUAGGUGUUUAGAGUCUCGGUUCAGCAUUCAGGCGAUCCCGACUCCAGUGCAAAACUCAGUGAUGUAUUCUUCUUUUGGAAAAAGUGGCAUGUACAUAGGUGUUAUUUUGGUCACUUUAAAAUGCUAUAUGAUUUUUGUUGUAAAGAAUGGCAUUUGGUAUUUUGGUGUUUAUACUGAAGAAAUGGUAUGAAAUUUUAUAUGAUGUACAUGGUAUAAUUGGUGCUAAAUUUAGAAUGGAAUGAAUGAAAUUCUAAUUUAAUUAUUAAUGGUAAUAUAAAUGUUCAUAAAGUAAAUUAUCAAAUUAAUGUUAUAGGUAUGAUUUUAAUACGAUUAAACAUGAAAUUGCAUUUGUUGAAAUAUUGGUUUUGGAUUUCUGGUUUGAAAUUGCAGGGAAGGUUAGAUGUUUAUAAAGGGGUUAUAUUGAGUUCAAAAAAAAAAAUUCUCGGAGCACCCGAACAAGUCCCGAUUCCCCUCUAAUAUGUAUUUUGGGCCUUGAGGGUCCAAUUAAGAGACUUUGUAAUUAUUUUAUAAUAUAAUAUGUUCGAUUAAUCAUAAAUUGUUUGAUUAUUCGGUAAUGCAUCGUAACUCUGUUCCAGCGACGGUUUAGGGUUAGGGGGUGUUACAUUGGUACAACCAUUGAUGUCUGUUCUAGUAUUGGUGUAAAUGAUAGACCUGCCUUGCCAGCUGCUAUAGACCUUGGAUGUUUAAGCACCCGUCAUGGCUUCCUCAUAUAACGUUGUCUACCCCUCGCCUCUUCCGCUAGUAGAUAUGGCUUGCCAUGGUGUCUAAACCAUGGCAAGUACUACGAAUCGUAGGUUAACUCCAGAGCGAUAAUGCGUUCGUGAUUAGGUAAAAACUCGUACCUAUGGUUCCAAAUGUUGAUAUAUUCUACAUGGAAUGUAGGUUAAUUUUCAUCGGUUCUCCCCUGUAAGUCAAUAUGUUGUAGAUCUUCGAUGUCUUGGGGUACCGACAGAAUUGUUUGCCUAAACCCAAACUGCCGCUUAACUCUAUCUGAUUUGUGCAUCUCCUCAGUAGCAUACACUACUAAUGGAACCUUCACGUGCCAGAUGUUGGGAUUCAUCAAGAAUUCGGAUAGGAUACAUUUUUGAAUUCUCAGAUAGAAGUAUGACGUCCAUUCAAACUAUAUUAAAAUAAUAAAAAAUUUAAUUAUAUAUACUAUUAAUAUUUAAAUCAAUUGUGUUUAUAUUAUAUAAUUCAAAUUUAAAAAAUACAUACAUCCACUUUCAAUCGUUGAUCUAACAGAAGUCGUAUAUUUUGAAGCUCUUCCAGUAGUCCCACAUAACUUGGCUCAUGGUUCCACCUAUUAAAAUAAUAUGUUAACACAAUAAUUUAAAUUUUAAAUAAUUUUAUUAUGAUAAAUAUAUUAUAUAAUGAAUUUUACGUUUUUACGAGUGAGAAUGUAUAAGGGUAGUUCGCUCAAGGACGUAAAAAUAACAGUUGAUACCAUGCCCAUGAUUGCAACAGUAGCAUGCAACCACCAAUUUUAAUUUUCUAUGGUUUUGUAGCCUAACACAUCUCUCGGUACCACGUCGCCAACACGACUAACCCCAAUUGAGUUUGCCCACUUCUCUAAAGUCUACGAGUUUUAGGAGCCACCUUAAAUGGAUAAGAUUUUGUGAUUUAUCGAGCAUUAAGAGACACAUAAUGAUCAUAAGGAUGUACGCCCAAAUGUGUUGUUCUCUUUCAACUUCACUCAAUUCCACAUCUAGCCCACCAAAAUUUCUUUUCAACCAAUUCAUAUCUAUUCAGGCUCCAUAAAUCGUGUCCAGAACCUUCAUAAAAGUUGCUCGCAUACAUCUCUCCAAUCAGCUACAACAACUGACCCAGUCAUUACCAGCCCAUCCACCGGUAACUUGAGCUGUAACUGCGCGUCCUCGAGUAUGAUAGUACACUUGUUACAUGGAAGAUGGAAUGUGUGCGUAUCAUAUUUCCACCUUUCCACCAACACGAUUACAAGUAUAGGGUCCAAUUUACACCCCUUACCCAUACGGGCCACGUGCAAAAAUCUAGUAUUUAUCAAGUAUGGUUCGAUUAAAGACAAUGGAGGAGCGAGUAGAUUACAAAUAUACGUCUCUAAAAUCUGAUCUUCUGACUAUAUAUAAAAAACAUAAAAAAAAAUAAAUUUCAGUAUAAUAAGAAAAUAUUUAAAUUAAAUUAGAUUAAAUAUAAUAAAAAAAUCUUACCAUUUGCAAUUGAUCGAUCGAAAUGUGCUUGCCAUCCAAACGAAUUAAAGAUUUUGCCAUUACUAAUUUCAAUAAAUACGAAAUAAAUUGUAAUAUAAAAAUUAAUUUAAAAACCUUAAUACAAAUUUAAUAAAAAAAAGAGUUGAGAGGAAUAAAAAUUGAGUGAGAAAUUAAUAGGGAAUUAAGAGUAAUUUGAAAGAGAUUUGAGAAUAAGAGAGAGAUGAGUUGAAAUUUGAAUUGAAAAAUGGAUGGAAUUAGGGGUUUGAACAGGAAAAAAUAAUUUAGCCAUUGGGGGGGUUUAAACGACGAUUUAAAUAGCUGUUGGGUUGGGAAAGCCGUUGGAUGGGGUAGCCGUAAUGAAAAAUGUUUCUAGUUGGAAGCGUUUUCAUUUUUUCGACCUAAUCCCAUAAUUUUUUGAAAAAUCGAUCUAAUCUGAUAAUUUAUUUUUAAAAUGACUGUUGGGAUCGACCCAAUUAAGCAACAGGUAAAAAAAA
rnacentral:lncRNA from 1 species